AGAAGCUCGAGGAUAAAUAUCAUUUCUCCUGCCAAUUUACAGCUGAUCUUUUCGCUAUGAACCAUACGGAUUUCAUCAUCACCAGUACCUUCCAAGAAAUUGCCGGAAGGUAGAUGUUUGGAUUCGAUAUUUUUUGUGUGAAAUGUUUUUCUCUAUAAACCGUUAACAUCGAUAUUCUUAUGAUUUCAGCAAGGACACUGUUGGUCAAUACGAGAGUCACACUGCUUUCACUCUUCCCGGUCUCUACCGUGUUGUUCACGGAAUUGAUGUGUUUGAUCCUAAAUUCAACAUUGUGUCCCCUGGUGCCGACAUGAGCAUAUACUACCCUUACACCGAGGAGAAGAAGAGGUUGAAGCAUUUCCAUUCCGAGAUCGAACAACUUCUUUACAGCAAAGUUGAAAAUGAAGAGCACUGGUGUGUGCUAAACGACCGCAACAAGCCAAUUCUAUUUACAAUGGCAAGGCUGGAUCGUGUUAAGAAUUUAAGUGGACUUGUUGAAUGGUACGGGAAGAAUGCUAAGUUGCGUGAAUUGGUUAACCUUGUAGUUGUCGGUGGAGAUCGGAGAAAAGAGUCCAAGGAUUUGGAAGAGAAGGCUGAGAUGAAGAAGAUGUUCGAGCUCAUUGAGAAGUACAAGCUGAACGGUCAGUUCAGAUGGAUAUCAUCCCAAAUGAACAGAGUUAGGAACGGUGAACUUUACCGUUACAUUUGUGACACAAAGGGUGCCUUCGUACAACCCGCAUUAUAUGAAGCCUUUGGGUUGACUGUCGUUGAGGCCAUGACUUGUGGUUUGCCGACAUUCGCAACUUGCAAUGGUGGACCUGCCGAGAUUAUCGUUCACGGUAAAUCCGGCUUCAACAUUGAUCCUUACCACGGCGACCAAGCUGCUGAGAUCCUUGUCGACUUCUUCGAGAAAUGCAAGACAGACUCAUCUUACUGGACCAAAAUCUCUGAGGGAGGUUUGAAACGUAUCGAAGAGAAGUAAGCACUCAUUUUCUUCAUUUCCUCGUUUCUUUUUGCUCAAGCCAACUCCUGUCAUUGUUCUUACAUACCUGCAAUGGUUCUGAUCAGGUACACAUGGAAAAUUUACUCUGAGAGAUUAUUAACCUUGACCGGUGUCUACGGGUUCUGGAAGCAUGUGUCCAACCUCGACCGCCUCGAGAGCCGUCGUUACCUUGAGAUGUUUUACGCUCUUAAGUACCGUAAGCUGGUAAUUCUCAUGCCCCAUUUCUUUUUAUCCAGUUUAAAUACGAAUGACUUGCAUUGUUAAUGUUUUUAUAACUGGUUUUCGCAGGCCGAAUCGGUACCUUUGGCAGUUGAAGAGUAAAUUGAAGUUGCCGGGGAAAGAAUUGGGAGGGAUUUCCGAGUUCUUGAGAAUAAUCUUUGUUGUUUUGGCAUUUUGAUCCAACUCUUUUGUUUUCUCUGUUCUUUUAUGUGUAUUUGUCUUUGUUCAUGUUUUGGGCAUUGUUUCAACAUCUGGGCGUUGAGCCCAUCAAUUCUAGUAAAGUAAAACAUGGCAACUUUUGCUUCACAUGUUUCAUCCCUUUUAUGCAACAAAUUAAAGCUUGCAUCAUAUAUGUAGAAGCUGAAACAAAUCGCACAUGGUGAGGCUUCGAUUAUCCGCAUACCAAAUCAGGCACUACAUGGUAUAAUAACACAUUUAGUCCUCAAUAUCUUUACGUUUAUAAAUUCUAUCAAUUUAAUCCUUAAGCUUUUAAACCAAAAUUUUCAAUUUUUGAAAACAACAGAGAACGGAUAAUUACUAUAACUUUAGAUUCAUACUCGUAUACCCAAUCCUUCAAGUGAAAAAUAUUCUAGCCAUAUAAAUAAUAUUAGCUCUGUUAGGUUAUAUGGCUUCAGCUGCAAGCAGAAAUCAUAAAAGUCAAGGUGUUAAACAAAAAAUGAUAAUCAAACCUAUGUUCAGAAGACAAUUAUAUCGAUUGGAUAAACACAGUAGGAAUGAGAAGAAGGGGCCGACCAAGUCAAUAACAUAAUUACGUAUGUUGAAUGACUAAAUUAAAUAAAGAAGAUAGAAUGGACAAUUUUCCUACAAUUGAUGUUGCAGCUUUUCUUGAACCUAAACUGCAUUUAUGUUGAAUAACUAUAUAUAUAUAUAUUCAGCAUUUAUUAAAUCCACAAACAACUAUAGUUAAUAUAUGUUGUCAAUAGUGAGUUUAACAGAUUGUCGGUGUUUGAAAUUAUACUUGUUCAUAUUCGAUCCGUCUUUGAAAAUGAUUUACAUAAAGUGUCGGAUACUAUAGGCCUUUAAUAAGCACACUGUUGAAUUUGUCUCUUUUAUUUAUAAAAAUAUAUAUAUAUUUAUAUAUUACAUAAUUUAAAUGAUUUAAGUAAUAAUUUAUUGUAUAUUCUUAAUCUUUUAUAUUCACGUGAGAUUUUAAAUUUUUAGAUAUUAAACCUGUAUCAUAUAUAGAAUUAAUCUUUAUAUGUAUAUAAAUAUAUAACAUAAAUGAAAUGGAGGUGUGUUUAUAUAAAUUAUGAUUAAAAUAUUAAAUAAUAUUUGAAAAAUAGAAAUGAUUGGGUCAAAUUUUUUGCACUAUUAAAAUAAAAUUUGACCCACAUAGUUGUUAAAAGCCAAAAUUUAGCAACUGUAUCAUUGAAAAGUUUGGAAAAAAAAUUUGUUAAUUAUUUUUUGUAUUUAUGAAAACAUUGUGUGGAAUGGUGGAAUGGGAGGGGAUCAACAUAUAAAUUUUGUUUUUUUAAUUUUAUAGAUGUGAAAUGUUCCUGUUUUAAAAGUUGAAAGUUUUGGUUAGGAGAUUUGAAGAUCAAAUUGAUAGAAUUUGUAAAUGCGAAGGGUUAAAUUUAUUGAAUUAUUUUGAAUUAGGAUCAAAUUGAUAGAAUAUGUAAAUAUUAGGCCUAAAUGUGUUAUUAUAUCAAUUAAGAAAAGGCUUUUAAUUAUCAAUUUAACAACGAGUGACCAAAAUAGGAACGAAUUUAAACGUUAAUGCCUAAAUUGAAAAAUUUUAAAAUUAGGUAACCGAUACAGGAACGUAGGCCUAAUUGAGUGAUCAUUUAUAAAGUUUACUGUUUAUUAUUUUUUCUUCUUUUAAUUUUUUUUAAACUAGAACAAAGAAGAACAUUGUGAUUGUAUUUGUUGUCAUGUUUUAAACUUAGUUAAGCUAAAAAGAUAAAAAAAAACAACGUAACAAAUUUCAAUUAAUUCGAUUAAUUGAUCGAUUUAAUUAAAAUUAAUUUGUUUUAAUUCAUGAAUUUUUUAAAAAAAAUCUAUUUAAUUAAUGAUUUAAUUAAUUCGAUUAAUAAGAAUUCAAUUCAAAUAAUAAUCUGACUAUUUAAAUUCCAUUAAGAAUUCAAGUGGAAUAUCUCAAUACUAGAUUAUUAGUACUUAAUUUAUUUAUUUACAUAUUUUUAUUGUUGGAUAUAGUUAUAUUGUAUAACUUUUUAUAUUUUUUCCAUGCAUUUUAAAAUUUAUAUCUAUAUACUUUUAUCUAAAUAUAUAAUGCUAAAUCACAUGCCAGAUGUGGAUAAUCAAUAAUUUGCUUAAUUAAUCACAUGCAUUUCAGCAUGAUUUAAAUCCUAACUCUCAAUAUAAUUAUAAUAAAACAUGUCAUAAUCCGACUUCAAGUUCAACCCGAAAACUCCAUAUAUAGAGAGAGAUAUCUAAAGACCCCUUUUGGGGGUGGCACUCCAGACAUUUCACUCUAUGAUUUUCUUCUUCUCUGUUUCGUCAUCAAAAAACCCUCCUCUCCUCCAUUUCAGUUGAUACGGUGUUUCAAAACUUACGUAUUUAUUUAUUUAUUUAUUUUUAUCUAUAUUUUUUGAAAACAUCUCGAUUCUUCUAUUGUCUUUUUAAAAUAUAUAUAUAUAGCAAAAUAGUAUCGUGUUCCAUACAAGGAAUCAACUUACAUUACCAUCCAAAAUCAUAUUUCCAAUUCUGUCAUUUUAAGUUGAUGUAAUAUGGACAAGGAAGAGAUAUAAAACUCAACAAAUUCAUGUCUUGUUGUCAUUUACACAACAUAAUUAUGUUUAUUAUUACAUAAAUUUUGAUUUAAUGAUUAUUAUUCGUAUACAACAUAUCCAAAUCCAUUGUUUUAUUGGAAACUAAUGGAACACAAAGCCGACAUAUCUUACUUAAUUACAAAUCAAACACUAAAUUCUUUCUAUCAUUCAAGGAAUGGAACUUUGUUCUUGUUUUUCCUUUUAUUUUUUUGACUAAAUUAUUGUAUUUAUCCUAUGUAUAUUGCGACUCUAUGAAUUUAUACCACAUCAAUCACUAACCAUAUUGUUUGUAUUGGUACUAGUUAAAUUACAUUUUGCUUCUUUUAUUAAAAAAAAUGAGCAAAUUAGUUCUUUCAGUUAAAAAUUUCAUCAAUUUCUAGGUUAAAAGCUGGCGUGAUUGACAACUAUACAAGUCCACACGGCAUGCAACGCGUACCUCAUAACUAGUGGCGAAAUUAGGGGGCCGGAAUUGAAAAUUUUAAAUUAAUAAAGGUAAAAUUACACUUUGGCCUCCUUAAAAAUAUAAAAAUUUGAUUUAAUCCUUUAAAAAUUAUAAAGAUAUAUAGUUUAUUAAAAUGGUGAAAUUGUAUUUUUUUUCUAUCGUAAAAAUGAUAACUUAAUCUCGACCACCUAAAAAAUUUUUCUGAUUUCGCCCUCACUCAUAACGACAUACGGGGUCAAAUUUUAACAAUAAAAAAUUAUUAAUGUAUUAGACUCUUUGCGCCAUGUGAAAUAUAGUAGCAUAAUAAAUAUAUAAAUAUCAAAUAUGAAUAAAUUGAAUAUAUCUAUUAAAGGGGGCUAAUUGAUUAAGACAAAGAUUAUGAAGUUGAUAACUAAAAGAGGGGUUGUUUAUUUAGGAUGGAAAACAAGUUAAGUAAGCAAUAUUUUGAUGAGAUAUUCACAUGGGAAGGGUAUGGGGUCUUGAUUUGAGGCUUAUUUUGAUAUGUUGAAUGGUACAUGUUUUCUGGGACAUCAUUUUGAUUUUGAUUCGUUUCCCACGUGUCAUUGCUCAAAUUAUUGUUUGCAAAAUUUUGAUCAUAUUACAAACUUUUAUCUUUAAAUUAAAAUUAUUUUAAUUUCCUAUAAUUUAAUUCUUAAUUCAAAUAGUUAAAAUUGUUUAUUAUUGUGUGACCUGAAUCUCGUCACUUGUUGAAGAAAUAAAUACAGUGACAAAAUAAGGAGAUCUGUGGGGGCAAGAGGCUGAGGACCAUAUCGCACAAGUUGAGCUCGUAUAGAACCAUACUUUUACUAUUUGACUUUGAUUAGAACAGGGUUUUUCGACCCUAAAAUAGACGUAGUUGAAACUCCUAUUAUAUCAUUCGUUUUUCAACAUUAGUAAAUUUCUUCUCCUCUGCCCGUGAUUUUUCCCUAAAGGGUUUCCACAUCAAAUCUGUGUGUUCUUAUUUUCUUUUCUUAUUGCUUUACUAUCGCUCUACCAUUAUUAUCGACGUUUGUUAUAAUAUAUAUAUAUAUCUAUAUCUAAUUUAUUAUGUUGAGAUGAAUAUUUUUAUAUUGAAAUUGGUGCUUUUAAAGUAAAAUAAACCACUUCUGUAUCUAAUCAUAAAUAAUUAAUAGUAAGACUAAAACAUUAAAAACAUAAAAUCAAUUAAAGUAAAAUGAUUAAAUAUCAAAUUUGAGAAUAGUGAAAUGAUCCCAACCAAUUAAAAAUUGUUUAUUUAUUUAAAAUUUUCCAGUAUAAUACUAUAAAAAUGUAAUUAAUGUGUUAUUUUCUUGAAUUUAGUAUAAACAAAUUGAAAUUUCUAGAACCUUUUCUUUUAUAAUUAAUAUAUUUAUAUAAUUAUGAUUAAAGUUAAUUAUUAUAAUAUAAUAGUUUAAAUUAAAAUAAAAUAUUAAUAAAAAAAAUUCACACAUAAUAUUUAUAUCUAAAAUAUUAGUAGAGGAAAAAGAUGGACCCUUUUUUAUACUUUUGCUACUAUAAAUACAAAUUAAAUACAAAAGUUUCACCUUCCACAAAUACAAGGAUCAAAAUCGAAUAAUAAUAAUAUGUAGUAAAAAUUAAUUUCAUAUUAUAUAUUUUAUAAUAAAUUGUUUUAAUCAGUUAAAUAAUAAUUUUAAUUACAUCAAAUUAAUCGAAUUAUAAAAACCAUGCCAAACCCAUCAUGCCAAUGAAUAAUUUGACUUGAGAGAUUAAGUUGAAAUUAGACUUGAUCAUGGGUCAGGUUAUCUUCUUAGGCUCGAAGGUUCACUCUGAAAGUGAGGGUAUUUAGGUAAAAAUAUAGGCUCGAGAAAUGGGCUUAGACAAAAAAUAAGGCCCGUUUUUUAAAUGAGUCAAACCUCGGGUAAGAUUUUUUGGCCUGGCCCAAAUUUGCUUACAUUUUUUUCGCUUUUAUUUACUGCUAUUUUACUAUUGUUUGCUACUGAUUUGUUAUCAUUUUGCUACUAUUUUGCUGUUAUUAUUUGAAUAACUCUUAUUUUAUUAUUAAUUUUACUGCUAUUUUGCUAUUAUUAAUCUUGUUUUGAUGUUGUUUUAUUAUCAUUUUGCUAUUAUUUGAUGUUGGCUCGAGUUUAACAUUUUUUAUUUGGGUCGAACUUGGACAAAAUUUUAGACUCAUUUUCAGGCCAGACUGAACCCAGACCUAGAAAACGAGUUUGAAAUUUUGGAUUAGCCUAGCUUGAACCCGGCCCAACUCAUAAUCAAGUUUAGUUCCAACUCAAAUUUUAUUUCAUAUAUCAAAUUAAAUUACAAUCCAGUAAUUUCUUUUUAUUUCCAAGCUCAGUUCACUAUUAAAAAUUAAUAUUGAGUCUAAACAAAAAAAAAAAAGUUUUGGCUACUUAACUUCAAAAAGUUACAAAUGAUCAAUUUAUUAUUCGAAAGUUUGUAUUUAAGUACUGGGUUGUUAGCUUUUUUUUCUUUCUUUCUUUUAAAGUCCGGCUAGCAAAAAGCGACAAUUCGAUGAUUAGUAUGAUAGAUCAGCACCCAUCGACGAGUAGAAGAAUAUACUUUAGAUCCAAAUCGGUUUGACGAUCAAUAUUGGAGAUUAGAGAUGAAAGCUAUUUGAAUUUUGGUCACAGAUUCGUGGCAUUCACAUACAGUUGUUUCACAGAGAAGGUUAUACAAUAACGAUUUUAACAAGCUAUUGAUAUAAAUGAAAACUUUCGAAUAGCAAUAACCAUUUUAUAACUUUUAAAAAUUGAGUGACCAAAACAUAAGCUUACUAAUAAUUUAACGAACUUAAUUAAUUGAUUGUAUUUUACCCGUAUUUAUUUACUUAAAUAAUAAUUUAAAUCAAAUUCAAUUCAGUUACACUUUUUUGUAUGAACUCAACCCAAUAAAAUGGAAGUGGUGGAAACUAUAGCCAAUCGAGUCGGGCGAGCUACUCAGCUUAAUUUCACAUAUAACAAAAAUGAUUAUAAAGUGUUAAUAUUUUAUAAUUUCCAUGGCAGGUGAGGGUAAAUGCCAGUUUCUAACUAGAAAAAUGAAAAAGGUUGAGAGUAAAGUUGAUAUAUCAAACACUGGAUUAAGAAUCUUCUGAAAGAAUAAGAAAAUAAUUAAGAAGGGGAUCAAUAAAUUUGGAUUUAACUCAACGUAUUCGAAACCCUUUUUCCACACUCUUGCACAUGUCUGACGUUAUCAUCUCACUAUUUUCUUCAAUAAAAAUAUUUAACAUUAAUUAUAUUUUUUUAUAUUAUUAAAGCAAGCUACAUCGAGAAUUCAAGUAUUGUAUACGUCAUUAAUCCGAUCCUUUGUAGAAACUACCUGUAAUAACGAGUUUGUAAAAUGGGUCUAUUUAUCAUAAAGAGAAUUGUUGCUUCUGAUAUUGCUUCACCUUAAUAGUUAUUUGAAUAAGUUAAAGUUAUGGAAUUUUGAGAACUCAUUCGUAUACGUCAGGAGUCCAUUUGAUAUUGUUCAUGAAAAUUAAUUCUUUCGAGAUUCUGUAACUAUCUCUUCCAACAAUAUCGUUUCCAAGAUUCGAACUUGCGUUCUCUCUUGAAAAUAUAAUAUGUCUUACCACUGUACUCGACACUUGAUUAAUAUAAUUACAUAAAAAUAUUUAACAAUAUUAUAUAAUUACAUGUAUGGUAAUCACGAAACCUUUGAUUCCAUAUAUUAUAUUCUAGUGAAGUCUUGUUCUUGAAUUUAUUAUCCUAACUAUAUCUUCUUUUAAAUUACGAUAUUUAUGUGUAUUCUAAAUUUUGUUUUGAAUAAUUUUAAAACAUAAUCGAACCUAUAUCUUCCUGCAUUGAUAAUAAGGCUCAUACCAAUUAAGCUAAAACUCAAUCGACAUGUGUAUUCUAAUUCUAAAUCUCCUAACAUUUUAUUAAAUUCAUAUAAUUUAUAUAAGAAACCAUAUUCUCUUUUAAUUGGUUACAUUAGUGGUGAUUUCUUUCUUUAUAAAUUAUCUUUUUGGUGGUUGAAUCAUUUGUUCUAAAAGAUGCACACAACAACCUUCUAGUUGGUAAGUAAAAUUUUAAGAACCAAAUAAAGACAAAAGCCUCUCACUCAUUCUUACCUUCAUUCUCUAAAAAAUGAUUCCUCUUGUGGCACAAUCCCAAGUGUAAUUGGAGGUGGUUAUACCUAUUCAUGAGUAAUAUUAUUUCUGAUUAGAUUAGUGUUGUUGGAAUUAAAUCUGAUUAACUCAUCGUAUCAUUUGAAUCGAAAAUUGGUUAGUAUAUCAGUUCGAAUAAAAAAUUAAAUUAAUUUUAAAGUAAAUUGUUUUAGAAUAUGUUCAAAAUAAAAAAAAAAUCGAGAUAAAAAAAUCGGUGGUUGAAUUGAUUUAUAAUUUUUCUAAUGAUUUUAAUUUUCUAUUAAUUUUUCUGAAAAUUUUAAUUGUUCAUUUUAUAAUUAUUGGAUGGAUAAUCAAAAUUGGUAGUUUAACUUUAACGUGGACCGGACCGAUCAACUUAAAACCUUUCCCCAACUCCUUUAUAAACGAGCCGUCUUCCUCUUUUCUUAGCUCACAAGCACCCUCUUUCUCUGCUACGGCUCUCCAAAAACUCUUUGGGAAACCCUUAAACCUCUCCCCCCAUAAGAAAAGCAAUGGCCAAAGGCAGCAACAAGCUAACCAAGCUCUUAUCGGUUCUAAAGAAGCUUAAUUCAUUCAACAGCAAGCAAAGCCGCACCCCCACGUCAACCGCCGCGGUGGCGGCUUCCGAUAUCAUCUACAACGAAGAAAGCUCUGCCGAUCUCCACCCUGUCUACGUUGGGAAAUCCCGUAGGCGGUACCUUAUUAGCUCCGACAUUAUCGACAACCCUUUGUUCCGGGAGCUCGCCGAACGGUCCGGUGAAGACGAUGACGCCGUCAUCAACGUGUCGUGCGAGGUGGUUUUGUUCGAACACUUGCUUUGGAUGCUCGAAAAUGCUGAUCCUCAACCCGAGUCUUUGGAAGAGCUGGUUGAGUUUUACGCUUGUUGAUGGUACGGACCGUAAUUCGUAAGUUGUACAUUGAUCAUGUAAUAAUAAAAUGAAAUUUAUAGGCGAUGUUAGAAGAUAAGAGAUGAGUUAGUUUCAACGACGAGGAUUUAACCGAGUUCUCGCCGGCAGCCUGGUGGUGGUGGGGGAGAUGACAUUUUGUGUAUCAUUGUUGUUUCAUUGUCGUUUAAUCAUGUUUCUUUUUCUGAUUUAUACAAGAGAUUAAUAUUUCAUUUUUCUUAUGAUGUCGAAAUCAUAAUCACUCAAUCCUUGGGUGAAAAAAAAUCUUAAUCCAAACUUAAUUUAAUAAUGCUUGAAAAAAAGAGAGUAUAUUACAGCAAAGCUUUGGGCUCCAGCGGCUUUCGUGUUUGUCUUCCAGAUUUGACGAUGUCUUGAAUACAAGAAUUUUUCGAAAAGAAUUAUUAAAGUGUUGGGGUUUGAACUUCAAAAGCCGUCAUUUCUUUUCGUGAUUGUGCGUCCAACUCGAUGAAGCCCUCUCAUUUUAUGAAUUCAUCAUAACCUGUUAAGAUAUUUGGACUCAAUAAAUUAUAAUAUUAAGGUUCAAAUGACCAAUGAUGGGGUUGUUAGAGAUGCUUUGUUUUUUUAGAUAGACAGUGUUAGUUCCGUUGCUUUUCGUUUGCUGACAAUAGGGGUAUCAGGUUUGUGUGUAUAAAAUAUAAAAAAGGUGAAUUAAAUAUAUGUAUGAGAGCGGUGGGGGAAGAUUUUGGUAAGUGGAAGACACGAAAUCCUUUCUUCUUUUAACACGCAUUAGCAUCGACGCGUUUGCCAAGCUGCCAUGGCCAUGCCACUCUUAAAACCUUCAAAUCUGCUGCUUAUUUUUCCAUUUUUCGAAUUUUUUUAUUUUUAUAAAAUAUUUUGCUCCUUACCUCUGUUGUUAUAAUAAAAUUGUUUCUCUAUCUGGGCUACUAACUUAAGCUUUUAAUAAGUUUCGUUUAUGUUGAGUUCAGAUCACUUGAAUGUGACGUUUUUGACAAACCUAGAAACAUGAGUCGAGUAGGGUGAUAAGACUCCUAAUCAAAUUGCCUGAAGUGAUUAGAUAAGCUUGAAAGUUUUUUUUUUUUUUUUUAUCUCUUGAGAGAGUUUUGGAGAGUUUGAAGAUAGAUUAAUGAAUAUUGUUAUGUGAUAAAUACUUAGGAUAAUUAGCCGCUUGAAGAGGCCUAUAAAUAGGUUGUUUUGUGCUGCACAUCAAGAAUAGUUUUGGACUGUAUUUGUCGACAGCUUUGUCGUGUUCUUAUGAUUAUUUUGUGACACUUUUUUUUAUUGUAUUGUGAGGUAUUUGAUUAAGUGAUUUGUGACAAUUGGAGUUGCAAUCACUUCUUUGUGUAAGGGUAGACUGGCUUAAGCUAAUAGAUUAUUCGAAUGGUUAUUGAAGAAAAUCAUUCAUAAGACAAGAUUUCAUGAACGUAAUACCGUUGUGUCUAAAUUGUGUUAACAAAGACUAGUUAUGUCAAUUCUUUUCGACUCUUAUUUUUUUUGCUACUUGUUUUCGUUUUAACUGUUGUUACCCCAAAUGUUAAACAAAGUUGAUUUAUCAUACCUAAAGAGUUGAAAUUAAAAUUGGUUUUGUAUUACUAUUACCAAGUCCCUAAUUGAGUUGGUGUCACGAGCCAAUUGGACACGAACUCAAUCAUGGAACUUACGAAAAUGUCCUUACAUAAUUAAAAAAAAUCAUAUUAUUCAAUGGUAUUUUAGUUUUUUUUAAUCCAAUACGAAAUUUGCAUGUGGCCUGUGCUAUUUACAUUAAUAAAAUAUUAACUUUGCCAUUAAACCAAAGUUUUAUUUUAAUAUAAUAUUUUCAUUUUAAUUGUAUUAUGUAUAUUUUAUUACUUCCUCCAAUUGUAUAUGUUAAUAAUGUUUUUGAUUGAAUUGUUGUCAUAAGUCAACUCAACACUAACUCAAAAUUGACGAAAACAACAUGAUAAACAAUUGUACGUGUUUAAAUUCAUUUUACUCAAUUUAAUUUAUUUUUUCAUUUUACAUGUGUAAUAGAAUUUCUACACGCGUUGUACUUUUCAAAAGAGAAUUCAAGUUUAAAACUUGACUAUACUUCAUUAGGAGAACUAUAUAAAAUUAGUAGUUUAAUUUAAGCUUUUUUUUUAAAUAUAAUUAUAUCAACAAGUAAUUAAAAUAAAUAUAUUAAAUGUUAUUAUCAGAAUCAAUUAACUCAACUCGAAUUAACUCGUCUAAUUUAAACUAUUAAAAUUUGAACCUCAAACCUCAAUCUUACCCUUAAUAACAAUCAUUUAAGACAAAUAAACCUAAUUUGAAUAUAUAUGUCUAAUUGUGUAACUUGCUUUUUAACAUGUACCCACAUUGAUUUUAUUUAGACCAAUCCCUAAUUACCAACCACUUUUACUUCAAUGAUGAUUAUAAUGUUGAAUACUUUUUUCUUUUUGUAAAAUAUUAUCCUUACAAGAAUUCGUUUAGAAUGAUGAAAGGAUAUUAGGGCUGAUUAAGUUUGGUUUCAUUAAAGCUGUGAAUAUUUUAUUGUACUUAAAAUCAUUCAUAUAUAGUCUCUUUUAAAUUUAUAAAUAAGAGAAUGUUACGUUUUUGUGCAUUCGAAUUCACGUUAUCUUACAUUAAUAAUAAUACUCAUGUCAAUCGAAUUAAAACUUAAUCAGUAAAGCUGUGAUUAUUAAAAUAAAAUUAGAAAUUAAAAACUGUUUUCCAAAGAAUUAUUUAGAUUACAAAUUAAUAAAAAUUAAAUUUAAAAAUACAUGGUGUUUUAGUAUUUAUCCACAAAAAUUUGGAAAAAAAAAAGAAAAAAAAUGAAUGUUUGGAAUCCAAGUAAUCCUUAUCACAAAUAAAGUACAUGGCAGCUGCAAGAAUGAUUAUUGUUUUGACUUUUGACGUAAUAUUUCCCAAUUUUAGAAAGAAGAGAAGGUAGAGUUUUAUGGCAGAUUAAGUAACCAGGAAAAUGUAAAUUUGAGUAUAUUAAAGUGUAUUAUUCUCUUAUUUAUUAAUUAGAAGAUUAUAGAUAGUUUUAGAUAUUAUAUCAAAAAUAGUAAAUAUGAUCAAAAUUUAUAAUGAGAUUAUUAAAAAUAAAUAAAUAUUUUAUAUUGUGAAAUGCUAAUGUAUGUGUAUAACAAUUAUAAACAAUUAUCUGAUUAACUGAUCUAACAUUGGUGAAAUUUAAAAAAAGAAGAAGGUCAAUCGUAUUAUUUAUUUUUUAAUCAAUCGAUAUUUUAUAAUAUAUACAUUCGAAUUUAAUUUUGAAAAAUUAUUUAAUAUAUCGUCAGUAAAGUAUUUUAGAUUCCACAAACGGAUUAAAGGUUUGACAAGUGUAUUAUAGGGUGUAGUAAAAAUAAAUAAAUUAUAUAAAUAAAUACGACACUUAUCACACCCUCAAUCCGUUUGUGGAGUCUAACAAAAUCACCGAUGGUGUAUCAAAUAAUUACUCUUUAAUUUUUUUUAAAGAAUUCUUCAUUAUACAUUAUACAUUAUACUAUUAAUUCUUUUAUUUUAAAUAUUUUUAUUAUUUAUCAAAUUUAUAAAUAAAACUCGAGUAUUCAAAUAUUUGGUUAAAUGAUUUCAAUCGACAAAAAAAAUUAUCACACUUAUAAAUAAUUUUAUUAAAAAAGAUUACCUUAAACGAAUAAUCAAAUUUUGACAUUUAAAAAUUAAACUAAUAUAUUAUUUAUUUUUUACUUUUUAGAUUAAUGAAAAAUUAGUACUUUAAAGAUAGGUAUUUAUUUUCUUAUUUAUUAGCAAAUAAGUUAAAAUUUUUUUAACAAAUUUAUUUACAAAUGUGAUCAAUUUUAUUAUCAAACAAGUUGAUUCAACAAAAUAUGUUAUGAUAUUUAUUUAUAAAUGUGGCAAAUUCUUUAAAUAAUAAAAAUACUUUGAAUCAGGUUCAGAAUGAACCUAAAUGAAUUGUAGUCCAGGCUUUUAGUAAUUUAUAUAUUAGGAUUUUUAUGAUUUUUUAUUUUUUAAAAUAUCUUUUAAUAUUCUAAACUACGUUCAUAAUGAAUAUAGAUAAAUGGUUGUUCAAGUUACAUUUGUCUAGCUCAUUUUGGACAUACAUAUUUUAGUCAUGGAUUCGUCAAGUUCAUUACAAGGAGCUUUGUAUGCUGACAGGAUUGCGAGUAUAACGAGUUAAUUGUUAUUUUAGUCGCUUAAAUGCUAUUAUUUUCUAUCAAUUUUUUUAAAAAAUAUUGAUGUGACAUGCCACAUGUUAGAUUCUCAACCAUUUCACUGUUCGUUAAUGGUCAAACCAGCCAAUGACAAUUUUUGUUAAUGGAACGACCUAUUUGAUCUUUUUUUAACCGCUGCCUUAAUUGAGUGCAUUUUGUUUAAUUAAUUUUUAUUUUUUUAUAUAAUUUUUUUACUAAUGGCUUUGUAAUCCUUUUGACUUAUAUAUUAAUAUUUAAUAUAUACAAUUUUAUUAAAAAAAUACAUUUACUUUCAACAAACAUUUUUCAUCCCAUGCACCUGUUUAUGUUUUAAAUUGAAAAUAAAAUUAAAAAAAAUUCUAAGUAUCAUUUUAAAAUAAUUCUCUUAUAAAAAAUUAUUAUUUUAAAAUAAUUUAAAUAUCGAGUUAUGAGGUCUGUGUUACCAUGGAGAAGACUUGGUUGGCCUAUGAAGAAGUUAAAGAAGAAAAAGACAAAGCCCAGUUAGCUACCUUCCAUAAAGAGAAGGUCCAGUCUUCGGUGUUUGCGGGUCUUUAGGGAAAAAUGUAAUAAAAGCAACAAAUGUAGGGUAUGUUUGUCAUUUUGGCAUUGGGACUGAGUCAAGUCAGUCAACUCAGCCAUGGGGCUAUAGUAAAAUAGGGAGAUAGGGACAGCCCACGUGGGAGAUGGUCGUGGCAAUCGGAUUUUAGGGUUUUCAGUUGAUAGCUCCAUUCUUCCCAUCCCCAUGUUACUCCUAGAAUUUUUGUCCCCCCCUUUUAUAUCACUAUAUUAAUUUUGAUUUAACAUUGAAUUUUCACUUGAUGCAUGAAAAAAAACACAUCAUAAUAAAAGUUAUUAGAAAUAAAUAUGAUUAUUGUUAUAAUUUUGUACACCUUGUAUUAUUUAUAAAUAAUUAGAUUGAUUUUUAGCUUAGUUGUAUCGAUAUUGUUGUCAGUGUAGGAGGAUAUGAGCACUCGAAAGCAAGUUAUCCUCCUAUUCAAGAGUUAGAGAGAGAUUAUAAAUAGUUAUAGACAUUAUAUCAAAAAGAGAAAAUGAUAACAACCUAAAUUUUUAAAUUUAAAAUCCAAUCUAAGCUUUAUGCUUUGCCUAGAUCAAGGUCGCACCACACUCAACCACCAUGGUAAGACUAUUGCAUAAUCAAUAUACUUUGUACUUCCAUCGCAUCGAAUAACACAAUUGAUCUAAUGAGAGACUUAAUUGAAUGAUAGCUCGCAAAUUAAGAGAAGGUAUGUAGUUUAUGAGUGCUUUUCUCAAAUCUCUCACUAAACUCCAUAACAACGAACUAGCACAUUACCACUAAAAUAUACCUCUUCUCCCAAGGCUUCAAAUCUCUCUACAAUUCUCUAUGUUUCUUCACAUGGCUCUCGAUCUUUUAAAUAAACUCUCAUAUCAACCUCCUUUAACUUUUAUUUCUCAAUAAAAUCGAACUCUAUUAUAGCAAACAUUAUAUAUUAAUGUAAGUUGUAUGUUUAUUUCUUACUAAAAUCAUAUUAAUUAAUUAAUGUAUUACUGAGUGUAAGUUGAUGAUAAUGAUCCAAUAAAGAUUAAAGGACUUUUAUGAGAGUUUUGGAAUAUAUGUUUUUAAUUUUUCGUCCUAAUUAACUCUGAACUUGGCCUGCCAACCCUUGUCCAUGAAUUUGGUCUGUUGGUAUUAAAAUAAAAAGUACCACUAUAUAAUAUAAGAUAUUCAAGCAUAUAAAAGAAUGAUUUGAAGAAUGGGAAUUAAGACAAACAAUACCCACGAGGAGAGAAAAAGAGAGGUGCCCAUGAAUGGACCAUGCAUAUAUGUUUAGGGGACCAACAAAAUAUUUCUAUAUUCGUCAUAAUUGAUUGGCAAUUGAAGGACAACUGCAUUAUGAAGAUAGUUUAACAAAAAAAAGAAUGAAACAUAAGAAGGUGUCGAAAGUAACUUCUGAGGCCUGUUCCGAUGUAACAAUCAAUAAAGAAGAGUGGUAAGAUAUUAUAAAAAUUCAGAGAUGGCCAUUCUUCUGUAAUAGUUAGAAAUGAACAUUUGUGUGAACCCUUAUACUUAAUAUAUCCAUAUAAUAGGCGCUUUUAGAAGACACCAAGUGAGCACCUGAAGACGAUCCUCACUUCCCGUUCUAGCUAUGGUCAAGUCACUCGCUUUUCAUUGUGAACACUCUUCCAAGAUUAUUGGGAUCCACUUGAGCAUAAUAACCUCGUACUCCCUCAAAAAGAAUAAUAGAAUGGGCCCCAUCACAUAUAUCCCCCACGCAUUCCAUAAUGUUAACUGCCUUACCACGCCACCACUACCAAACAAAAGGACUUCCCCUAUAAAUACCUUCCAAAACGAAAGAAAAGGGACCUUCUCACCCUUUAGCAAUCUUGAGCACUUAGUACUCCAUGUCGGUCCUCGCAAUAACCUUCUUCCUCUUGUUUUCUUCUACUUUCCGCAUGCUUAAUUUAAUCGACCUCCUUUACACUACCACUUUCUUCUUUUUAUCUCCUCCUUUAUUGAAACUUGUAUAACACAAUUAAUACCUACAUUAUUGUAAUUCAAAUCCAUAUAUAGUUGACAUGAAGCAACUUGUGUAAUGUUGAUAAUGUUAUAAGGGCCCCGUUUCUCAUUGGAGGCAAAGAACAGCAAAAGAACCUGAUGAGUUGGAUACCAAAUUUUGCAUGUUAAAGUGAAGGCAAAGGGAUGUAUGAUGAUUUAUUUAUUUAUGGCCAUCGUUUUGUUAAAAUAUCCCAAUAUAUAUUUUGUAUAAAUAAGGCAAAUCCCUAACCAGUCUUUGUAUUCUUGCAUGGUAUAAGUGUAAUAAAAUACUAUUUUCAAAGCAAAUCUUUGAUUGUUUGAUCUUCUUCUUCUUCUUUUAAAGAUCCAUCAUUUUCAGAGGUGGAUCAACAAAUAAAUAAAUAAAAUUUGCUUUUGGGACUAAAAAAAAGUUUUUGAAUGCAAAGCAUAGGUCUCUUUCAACAAAUAUUGUAUUUUUAAUUUUGCACACAAACAAUAUAUAUAUGUCCAAUAAAAUCCAAAAGUAGAAAAACCAAUUAAACGACAUGACAUGUGAUGUUCUCAAGUAUGACAUAUAUAUAUCCCCACGAUUCCACCAUGUAAAACUAUGGGUUCUAACAUCAGAAACAAAAAAAGAAGAAGCAAUUUUGUACAAAAAAGAAAGCAAUUAAUUAAGUACCCAUGCAUGAACAUCUUGAUGGAAAUGUUGAAGCUAAAGACUCAUAAUUGAGCCCAUACAUUAGAGAGAGAGUAACCGAUCAGGAGGAGUGGAAGUAUAAAACUUUUUUUUUGGUUUAAAAUGUAAUUUUAUCAUAUGUAAAUUUAGUAAUAUAAAUUGUAAAUGUUGGGGUUUUAAUUGUCAUUGUAUUUGAAGUUUCUCCUCAUGUUCAAAUAACUCCUUAAACAACUGUCUGAAUAGAUUUUUGGACAACAGUAUGGAUAUACCUUCGGAAUAGGUAAGUGCAAUAUAAAGUUCAAAUUUUUUAAUUUGAUCUUCAAAGUGUGUCAUACCAUCAGCAAAUGAUCCUUAGGCUAUGUUUUAUUCUAUCCUUAAUGAUAUUGAUCGAAUUUAGAAGUAAAGAGGAAAAAGGAUCGCUUUUCAUCGUCUCAUACCUAAUCUUAUAAAAAAAAUACCGUUGUGCUUGUGGGAGUACUUUUGACCGGUUAUUUGAAUAUCUUUACUUGGUAUUUUUGCACUCUUGUUUUAGACAUUUUAUUUCAUUGCCAUUUUGAUUUGUAUGUGAGAUUUUGAGUGAGUGAUUUGUAAUAAUUGGGAUCAUUGUUGACCUGCAAUUAUUUCUUGUGUAAGAGUAGAUUAGACUUAAGCCAAUAAGUGAUUUGGAUGAUUAUUGAAUAAAACCAUUCAUUGAGCAGUAGGAUUGUUGAUCUAAACUGCGUUAAUAGAUCUCGUUUGUUGACUUCUCUCAUUGCUUUACUAUCUGUUUAUAAACUGUUGUUAAAUUGUCCUAUUCAAACUUGUGUCUAAACAUCAAGUUGGACAGAGGGUAAACCGAUUUUUACUCUUUCAAUAAUUACACAACCAUAUAAUUUUAAAUUCUAAAAAGAAUAUUAAUUACUAUAAAAUCAUAUCAUAAUAUGUAUUAUGUUAGUAUAAGAAAGUAUUCAACAAUACAAUUACUAAUAAAAUUAAGGCUUAACAGUGUAAAAGCCCUCAAACUUUUUCAAAAAAGCAAUUAAGUCCCUGAUAUGUUUUUUUAAUUCAAUUGGGUAGUUCCAAUUAAAAAAUUAAAAAAACCCGAUAGACCAUCCUCCAAGUAUAUCUGUAGUUCCAAGUCUCGUCCUCCAUUGGAGAUAAAUAGAGGUCUUACCUACACUAGGACCGCCUCCAGUUGAUAUUAUGCUUCCCCAGUAGUUGGUAAAGCUUUCCUUUAUUUUGAAGGCCAUCAACUAACUUGAAUGAAAAUACAAACAGGAUGUAACAUAAGAACCCCAAAAUUCAUAGAAGCAUCGUAGAACAUCUCCAGAAACUUGAGUAACGUACGUGCCUUGUUCCAGUCAUCAAGGGUGGGAGCCCCUUCUGCAAGAGCAUUUAUAAAUUUUGGAUCAUCCUCUCAAAUGUAUUCUGAAGAGCCAGUAUGUUGAAUUCCAUCCUUAUUUAUGUCUUACAAUUUUGUGAUUUUUUUUAUUGAUUUUAAUAUAUAUUUUUUAUCAUUUAGUAGUAGCCAAAAAUGUACAUGGGUUUGGAAGCAAAUGACGCCAUAGAAAUUUUGUAGAAUCGACCUUUGGUCUUUAUAAAGAUGGGUUUGGAAAUAUAUAUGGGCUAUAAGAUGAAAUCAUUCAAAUUUGUGGCUUAAUCACAAACUUUGUAAAGCCCAUUUUAUUAUUCGUAACAAAAAAAAUGAACAUGGGAGUCACUAAAUCAACAUUCGAGUCCGAAGUUUAGGUGAUUUGAAAAUAGAUAAUAAAAGAUUAAAAAAAACAAAUAAGAUUAGUUUGAUAAAAGAGACGAUUUUGAAUUCAACAUUUAAGACGAUUCUUCAUAAUUAUCUAGAUAUUAAAAAUGUAAUACUUACCAACAAAGCUUGGGUUCGAGGAUAAAAAUUAUUGAAGGGAUUUUUGAGGUUUUAAUGUUCAAAUUUUCUCAGAUGAGUGAGCCAUUAAUCCUAUCCCAUAUAAUAUGCUAAUGAUUGGUUUAACAUAAAAUUAAUAUUUGAAGUUCAAAAAAUAUAACACUUUUUUUAUCAAUACAAAACAUUACUAAUUAAAGAAAGAAUGUUAUCACGAAAGCUUAAUCCUAAAUCUCAUCUAUCACCUCUUCCUUAUCUUAUAAUCACCUAUCAUUGUCCAAGCUUCACCUGACCUCAAAAGACCAAACGUACCACUUUUUCGUCUUCUUUUCUCAUGAGAGAAGUACUCUCUUUUUUGAGAGUUCAUGAACAAUAAAAAAAAAUUCAUCUUCUUGAAAAAGCUACAAGUUUCUCCUUUUUUUCACUAUGCUUUUAACACCAUCCAACCUUACGACUCUCCACUCUUCAAUAAUGAACGGUGACUAAAUUCUUAAUCUAAAACUUGUAUAAACAAAUAUAAAAAAUAAAAAUAAAAAAUUCAAGCCUACACUCUCUCAACAUUCAUCCAGUCCUCUGCCUCUAAACUCUCUUCAUCAUCGAUUAGGUGGACCGAGCUCCUCAGCAACCAUUCUCCUCUCCUCUAUACUCUCUCCUUAUUGAGCAUUGUAUCAACACCCCAUAACCAGACUCUUCAUCCUUCUUUACUCCCUUCUCCCUCUCCCAACACUCUCUCUUCUGUCUUUCAUCGUAUCCCAAUUCUCUCCAAAUCACCACACUCUCUAUUUCAUGGCAUUAAGCACUCUUUCUCUCCUUCUCUUUCCAUCCCUUCUUCCUCUUUCAAGUCUUCCAUUUCUGCCAAGGUACAUUCUUCUUUUUAAUUGGUUGAUUUGAUUGGCUAACCGCCCUCAGUGUUUGCUUAUGAUUUUUGGGGGGUUUUGCAGGUCGAGAAAGGUUUAGUGCCUCCAAUAUUCACGCUGAAAGAGCAAGAUGGGAAAAAUUUUAGCCUUUCCAUGUUAAAAGGAAACCUGUUGUCGUCUAUUUUUACCCUGCCGAUGAGAUCCCUAUCUGUACCAAGCAGGUGAUUGCUUUAAAAGCCUUUGUUUACCAGCUUUAAACCUGAGUCCAUGUUGUGUCGUAUCCGUAUUCCGUGUUUUGCGCUGAAAAGCAGUACUUUUUUAGGCAUGUGCUUUUCGAGAUUCUUACGAGAAAUUUAAGAAAUUUGGAGCUGAAGUUAGAGGUUUGCAAAAUUCGGGUAAAACUGAAAAAAUUCGGUUAAUCGACCGAAUUCGGUUAAUCGGUCGGUUAAUCGAAUUUUUUCGGUCAGGGGUCGGUUAAUUAUUUUUUGAUUUUUCGGUUAACGGUUAAUUCAGUUCGAAACCGGUCGGUUAACCGAAUUUUUUCAGUUUAACCGAAAAAAUUAAUAAAUAAAAUUAUAAUAUAUAUAAAUAGCCUCACUAUUCAACUAAAUCCAAUCCAAAACCAAGUAUUCAACCCAACCCAAUUACCCAACCCAACCCAACCCAAUCAUAAAAAUUACAAAUAAUUUAAUAAAUAAAAAUAAAAUUCUAAAGCUAAAACUAAAACUAAAGUCUAAAAAUAAUUUAAUUAUGUAGUGAUUCAAUUUGGUUAAUUCGAUUAAUUCGAGUAAUUCGGGUAAUUCGGGUAAUUCAGUUUAUUUUUAACCAAAAAUAAAAAACAUAUAAUUUUCGGUUAAUUCGGUUAACCGACCGAAUUAACCGAAAAAAUUUCGGUUCAGUUAAUUUUUUUGAAAAAAUUUCGGUUCGGUUAACGGUUAAAGAUUUUGAAAAGUCUGUUAAUUCGGUUAAUGUUAUUUCGGGUCGGUUAACCGAAUGAACACCCUAGCUGAAGUUGUUGGAAUAAGUGGUGAUGAUCCAUCAUCACUCAAGGUAAUAAUAAUACUAAUAGUGUCCAACACACCCGAGUAUCAUGUAAAAUCCAUCUCUUUUGAGAUCUUCUUCUGAAAACAAAGUCAUCUAUGGAAUCUGAAUUCUUAUUAUGUGUGAUCAUUAGAUAUUCUAUUUGUCUAUGUGAAUUUCUGAUGGUGCUCCAUACUGGAUACUUGUUCAUGUUAUACCAUGUCCACCGACCGAUGUUCGUAAAUUAACCGAUGAUCAGCUUGAUUUUUUCAUAUGGUAUUUUGCCAAGAGAUAUGGACUUCAGUUUACGUUGCAGAGCGAUGAGGGAAACAAGGUCAGGCAAGCGUGGGGAGUAGAAGAGGUAAAAGGGCAAACCCCAUAGCCAAUAAUGUGGAACAGUCCAAUGAAGUGUCCUUACCACCAUGGUGCACGGUUGCCCUUCGGGUCCUUCAUGCAACAUGGGAAAUCAAUAUCUUUCUAAUCAUUUUCAAUAUUCACUAAAGAAAAUAAAUCAAUUUCCGUGCCAACUCAUGCCAUUGUCAUCUCUAAUAUUAUUGAGUGAACCACUUACCAGCUCUGGUCUUAAAGUCAAAGUUAAAUAAUAAAACCCUAAUGCGACACAUGCAGAAAUUAUUAUUAUUGACUUUCAAAGGCAAAGACGAACGUUCAUGUCUGUUCUUGAUUUGUUCGUCCAUUUCUUCAAUCAUAAAAGUCUAAAUUGUGUUACUAACCCUACAAAUAUAUAUUAUGAAGAUGCAGUCAUGCAGAAUCCUUAAUGCAUUUGAAAUCAUAGUUUAAUUUUGUUUAAUCAAAGGUAAAUACACUUCUUUGCUACAAACAAAGAAAAGUAUGACGAUUUCAUUUUCCCAAUUUUUGGUUUAGUGGUGUCGAAACCAUUUUUUUAUAUUUCGAAAAAAGGGAUCAACUUUUAAAAUAAAAACGGGAGUCACCAUCGAUCUUUUAUUGUGGUGUGAUCGGAUCACCUUGAAAAUAAUUUUAGGUCUGCGAAUUUUGAGAAAACAGGUUCGGGAGUCGGUUACGCACGAGGAAGGGUUAGCACCCUCGUGACGCCCAAAAUUAGUACCGAAUUGAUUGUUUAAUAUCUUAGUGUCGAAAUUUUGAAAAGAUCUUAAAGUACGAUUCUUUUAACUUGAAUAAAUUGAAUAAUAAAACACUCUUAUUUCAAAGAAAUAAAUCGUCACACUCAGUAAGUUAGAGUGUAACAUUUCAAAUCCUCAAAAUUAUGUUUGACUUUUAAAAUCUAUACAUCUUGAGAAGGGUAUUUGAUUAUUUGGGUCAAAUGAGAAAAUCAAAACCUAGUAAGUUAGGGUUCGAUUUCACAAAAUACCUAAAUAUCGAAUAUUGCCUUUAUUUCCAUUUGUUAGAAAAAUCCUCGUCCCGGGAAAACAACAUGUCCUACCCAAUGCGUUAGGAUACAACGUAUCGAAUUCCCGAGAAUGGGCUUUUUAUUUAUGUUUUAAUAAAAGAAACACAUGGCUAUCUAAUUCAUCGAGACAAAUUGGAACCCAGUAAGUUAGGGCACAAUUCUCUCGAGAAUUAUAAACGCUUGGCCCCCCUUUUUUAAAAUUAUGAAAUAAAAAUGAUUUUUGGGGUUUUAGUGAAACCGAAUAUUUAAAAAAAAUGCAAUGGGAUGUUAACAUAUAACGCAAAACAAUAGGCUAAAGUAUACUAAUAAUCAUCGAUAACCAAUAAAUACGAAUAAAUAAUAUAAUACAUAUGCGGGCAAAAAUAUCAAACACACAUCAUGCAAACACGAAUAUCAACAUUCAAAAUAAAUACUAUAAAAAGAUAAAUCAAAAUGCAUUAAGUCAUGUACAUAUAUUAAUUUAAAUAAAUAGUACAUAUAUAAUAAUAAUGUAUAUAAAAAGAGUAAAACAGAAUAAUUAGUUUAGAAAGAAUAAAAUAUUUGUGCAUAUAAAAAUAAAAUUAACGAUUUGAUGUUAGUAACAUUAUAUUAUAUAUAUUCAAUAAAAUAAUUUUUAUAUAAAUUAUAUAUAUGAAAAAGACCAUGAAAUGCUAUUGUGUUUUUUAAAUCCCAACGAAUAUAUAUAGAUGAAUAUAUGUAUAUAUGAAAAUAUCGAAAAUAGAAUAUUUACAAUAUUUAAGUAAUAAUAUAUAAAAACUUAAGAUAACACCAUAUAAUAAAAAUAAUAUAAGCCAUAAUAAAAUUAGGUUUAUUAUUUGAGAAAUGAUAAUGAUAAUAAGAAAUGAUAAUAAACAAAUUAAUUUGAUAAUAGGAUGACAAAACAAAGGAAAAUUUUUGAAUUAAAACAAAAUCUUAAGUUUGAAUUUGAAAAUAAUGCACAAAUGAUUAAAAUGAGAACCAAUUAAUAUCCAAGGGACUAGUAAAUCAAUUUAACACAAAGUCAAGAAUUCAAAUCUCAUCAGCGAGAACGACGCCAUCUGUCCCUGGAUCUAAAUGAAAUCGAACUCAAAUAUGUGGUGCAAAUUAAAAGAAAUUAAAUCAAAUCAAAUUGAAACAACCCAAAACACAGAAGGGCUUGUCCGCAAAUGGACCAAUAAAAAAAAUGUGCGGAUCCUCCUCGGGUCAGGUCACCCGCGUGGGUUAUAGCCUUAUACGGCGCUGUUUUAGGGCCACUAAGGCAGGCCCUAAACGGUGUCGUUUCAUGCAUCAUAUAAAAACUAAUCCUAAGCUCUAAACCUAAACCCUCAUCAGUCUCCUAACCUAGCCAAAAUGAAGACCCCUUUUCUCUCCAGCACCGCAAUCCCGAAAUCCCAUCCAUCUCCGAUUUCGGACGGAGUCAACGGGCUCCGUUGGCGCGCUCGCGACGGUAAGUUUUCUCUUGCUCUCCCUUUUCUCUUUAGUUUUAUAUAUACUCAUAUAUAUGAUUAAUAACAAAAACAGAAGAAAAAAUAAUCGGAAACAGAAUCGAAAAGAGGAAAAAGAAACCUUUUUUUAUUGAUUUCGUUUUCUCAUAUCAUCCCCUUUUUUUUGUAUUCAAUCUCCAUAAAAAAAAAAGGAAAUGUUCGCAUUGUUUACAUUGGCCCUUUAUAGCCAAAAUUACAAAAAAAUAAAAAAUCCGAUCUGUUAUUUUUUUGUUUUUUCUUUUCUGCGUUUGUUGGCCUAUUGUUGUUGCUUUGCUGUUGCGUUGUCCAUUUUUGUUUGUUGCAGGUAUAGCGUACGGAUGCGUGCGUGGCUGGGGUGACGUGGCGCGGAACGUAUGGAGGCUGGUCGCGGAAGGCUUGGCUGCGGCGCCUGGUCUGUUCCAGAAACCCUAGGGUAUUUGGAAGCUGUUUAGGGCUAUCAGGGUCUGGGCUUAUUGGGCCUAGUGUAAUUGGGUUUAGUGGGUAUUUGGGCCUGUUGAUUUUGGAUUUGUAAAGACUGAUGGACUGUUAAUUUAUUUUAUUUGGUUUAAUAAAAUGGGCCGGGCAAAUUGGCCUAUUACAAGUGGAGCUAAAAUAUUUCUUAUAUUUGUUUUAUGUUCCAUACAUAUUAAUCUUUCCAUAGUUUAUAGUUACCUCUUCUAAUAAUGUUGUCUCCAAAAUUCGAACCCAAGUUCUCUAAUUUAAGCAGAACAAAAAAUGAAUAAAUCUGGUUAUUAAUGUUGAUAAGGCAUAAAAUAAGAAGAAACUUUCGUUAAUUAAACUUCUUCAAAAUCAUUAUCUUUCCAAAUAUGAUUAGUAGAUCAUACUAGGACUCUUCAAAUAAUAUCAUUUCUUGAUCAAGACUUCAUCAAUCAUAAUAAUGUAUUUUACGGCUCAAAAUCCUCAAAAAGAUGUAAGUGAAUAAUCAAGUUAUUUAAGUCAAAACAUGCCAACAAAUUGUCUUUUGAGUGAUGCUAGACCAACUAAUCUUGUAAAAGAUGGUCCACCGAGAUUUUUUGAAUUGCCUCUCAUUCUUCUUCAGAAAAUAUAGGGUGGCGAAGAUCAUGAUUAGAGGUGUUCAUGGGCCGAUUCAGGUUGAGUUGGGCCGAGCUUAAGCAUGAUAUAUUAACAUACUUUAUGCUUGCCAAAACUCAGCUCGACCCAAAAUAAAUGCUUAAAAUUUUGCUCAAGCCCCUCAUAUUUGUAAGGGCUAGUUCUUCAUUGCUUAAAAAAAACACUUCUGACUCCAAAAGCACUUUUAGAAGAAAAACUGUGCAAAACAAAUUAUUUUUGGCUGAAAUUUUUAGUUUUUCAGAAGUGUUUUUCAAAAGCACUUCUGAAAAGGAGAAGCUAAAAAUUUUAGCUUUUCUUUUCUCAAAAGCACUUUUAGUGCUUAAUUACUUUUUCACCCCUCCAAUAACAUAGUACUUUCCUUUUUUUUUUCUUGGUGCUUAAUUACAAAUGUGUUAAAAUCAUUAAUUAAAAAUAAAAAAAUAUUUUUUUAAAUACUAAUUACAAAUAUUUAAUGGUUAUAUUUAAAUAUUUAAAAUAUAGUUUAUAUAUUCUAAUUAAAUUUUAUAAUUAAUUAAUAUUUAUUGCUUAAAAAUAUUUAAAAUUUAUAUUUCAUAUAUUAAAAUAUUAGCAACAAGUUAUAAUAAUUUUUUUAUAUUCUUACUAAAAUAUAAUAAUAUUAACUAAUUUAAAUAUUAUUUAAAUGCAUAUUUGUUACUUGAUAAUAACAUGUCUAAAAUGGAUAUUUUAUUUCUCAAAAGCAUUGUGCAUUUUUUGACAGCAAUGCUAAACACUCAAAUUUUAAACCAAACUUUUCAAAAGCACUCCUCAAAAGUAUUUUUCCACAGCACUUUUCAAAAGUAUGGCCAAACUAGCCCUAAAUGACUAACCCAAGUCUAUUUUAGGCUCACCCAUAUGAUUGUUUUUAAUUCUAAAAAGUAUACUGUUUCAAUUUAAGAUUUAAUAAUUUUAUAUAAUUUUUUUACUCCUUAAAUCAUACAUAUAUUCAUAUUAACAUUUUUUAAUGUUUGGGUUAUAAUAAUAUUAUAGAUUACUAUAAAUUACAUAAUAUAAUCAAACUUAAGCCUUGAAUAUUCAAGCUUGAGUCUAUUUUUUUCCAAACCACCUAAUACCUUUAACCAAACCCUCUCAUCGUAUGUCAUGUUAAAAUUUUAGCAUGUAAUGGGUGUUAGAUCCUUCUAGAUAUACAAUCUUCCACCAAAAAAGGUUCAUAUGAUUAUUUUAGGACGGAGUUCAUAUCAUGUUACGGGUUAAUAACAUAAGGUAGAAAGCAAGCUUUUGCAUGAAGAUUAAAUCAGAAAAGCAUCCACCCUGCUGCCAAUUCAGGAUUCAUUACAAAUUGGCUUUAAUUAAAAACAAAAAAAACAACUGAUAUAAGCCAUUUCUUUUACAUGAACACAAAAAUUACUACAUUUACUGGUUCUUCAAUGGCCCUGAGGCCUCAAACACUAAAACCUCAAUUGUAGCUACUACGUUUAAGAGAAACGAAACCUUCCCAAACCAACACUGAACUAUGAAACAGUAGGAGUGUUUUUUUUUUUUUCUAGAGCUCUGCUACCGGCCACCACCGUACUACUUCGUAAUAAUAACACUUUCAGAGUUAUGUUUUGUCUACAGGAGGAUUUUCUGGGAUACUCUGCAUGAAUGUAGCUGAUACGUUAAACAGUUACCUAUAACUGAUGAUAUUUGAAAUGUUUUGAAAACGAGUAUAUACCUUCGGCCAAAUGUAAGAAAACACAGGGAGAGCAGCUGUUGAACUAUUUUUACUUGUAUGGGGUGAAAAUGAUCGAUGAGUUAUGCCCGCCAAACCCGAAUGAAUUCGACAAAGCCGCCUUAACGUUCAAUCUUUCUUUAUUUGGCCCCACAAGCACACUUGUGUCCUGGAAAGCAAAAUUGAACCAUGUAGGAAAACCGAGGGAAAAAAACUACAGUAUGUAUGUGUCACAAAGCAAAAACUGAUGAAUGAGAAGGAAGAAACAAGAGAGAGAGAGAGAAGAGGCAACAUACCACUCCUACAUCCGGGUUUUCCAGGUUGAUAUUUGGAUGAACCCAACCAGUUCGUAUUGCCUACAAUUAACAAGACAUUACCAUGUCAAUGUUCAGGUUCCGGAAAAGGGAAAGAAAAUAGGAGAAAGAAGAUAAGAUGCAUGAUUCCUUUCAUCCCUGCUCGUAUCAUAUAGCCACAAAACAGAAAUACAGAGGAAGUAGGGAGAACAAUCUUCUCGAAUAAGAGAACAUAAACAACAAAAAUUCAGCACCGUGCAAAUUCUGUCCAAUCUGCUUCCUAAAUCCAAAAUAAGAACAUAACCAAAAGUCAAAAUUGCAUACCUGUACUGUUGCAACAGCUUCCACAGCACCGGAAGCUCCUAGUAGGUGACCAAUCAUUGAUUUUGUAGAGUUCACCCUUAACUGCAAAUGAUGGAGAUCUUAUCAAUAAUCACAAUGCAUAAAUUUGAAAAACAGAAAUGCAUGGAGAUUCAAUUUUUCAAGAAAAGUAGGUGAAAUUACCUCGGGAUUGUCUCCAAAACAAUGAAGAAGAGCUUGGUAUUCUUUAAUGUCUCCAGUUGGUGUCGAUGUAGCAUGAGCAUUAAUAUAGUUUAUAUCUCCUCUAGAUACACCAGCGUGAGCCAAGGCCUUUUCGAUGCAGAGAAUGACACCAACACCUAUUUUUAAAUUUCACGAGAUGGAUGUUAGUUUAAUUUUUCAUAGAGUAACAUGCACUGCUUCAGAAAGAACAUGUAACAUCGCUAAUUAUAUAAAUGUGGGUUAUCUUCACAGUAGGGAAUACUCGGACAAAGAGGCAUAAGUUGCAAUCUCAUGAUAUUUAUUCUGCUCAAUCACGAAAAUGAAGAAUCUAAUGUCAAGACAUGCAUGUACUCGAUAAUGCCAUGAGCCAAAAAAAAAUUACAUGCUUAUAUAAAUCAUUGUUUCACGGAAAAACAAUAAAGUAAAAGCAGCAAAUUAAGUCUCAACGUCUAUAUUUAGAAAAUAAAUCGGGAUUUAAGAAGAAUUGCGGUUAUACAGAUGUGGCUCAUUACCAUCAGGGUGAGGCUCGGUCAUGUGAUAAGCAUCACAAGUGAAGCUUCCACCAAGGAAUUCUGCAUAGAUAGUCGCACCUCUCCUCUGCAAAAUCAGAAAUCUAAACACGAUAAUUUCCUUUCUACAAAAGAAACUAAGUACAAACCUAUUGCUUACAACAUGGAUUUGUAGGGUUUGAAGACAGUGUACCUUGGCAUGCUCCAAUUCUUCCAAAAGUAGAACCCCAGCACCUUCCCCCAUGACAAAUCCAUCGCGAUUCUGGAAGAAAAAAAUAGAACCACUAUCAAGGUAAAUAGCACGCACGAAGCAAAACAAGGAAAAUUAUGUUCCUUUGAUUAGAAAAUGCUCGAUAAAUAUAUAGUGUAACUUUGUCAAAAAGACCAUGUGCAGAUACAUAUCAUUUGUGAUGUGAGUUGUUAAGAUAUGAUAAACACGUUGAAUACUCGUUCAAAAGGUUAGAAUAGUUGACAUUAAUUACCAUGAAGUUUAAUUCAUAAAUGCAUUCUUGGUUUUACUGGUUUUGUUCUAUGAAGAGGGGAAAAUGAAACAACAGCAAAAGGAAAAAUGAUAGUGAUGAAGCUCAAGAGUUUUCGAAAUAUUACAGCAUCCCAAGGGCGUGAAGCUUUGGUAGGAUCAUUGUUCCUCUGAGAGAGCGCUCUACAAGCCACAAAUCCUCCCAAACCUAAAUGAAAAAAAAACAAUAAAAUAGAGUAUUACAUGCUAUACCAAGCGGAAAGAUUAUAAAACAAUGCUGAAUAAGAAAGUUAGAACAAUAUACCAAUGGGUAUAAUCGCCGCAUCAGAGCCACCACAAAGCAUCAUAUCCUGCAAUUUUGACACAAAUACCGUUGAUAUAGUGCAAUCAAUCAUACAUGAUAUAUUGGAUGUUUUUCUUUGCUAGACUUACAGCUUCGCCUCUAAUGAUAUGGUUUGCUGCGUUUAAUAUGCAAAAGUUGCUUGUAGCACAUGCAGUGGAGAUUGAAUAAUUAGGACCCAUCCAUCCCUGAAGAAAUCAUCAGUUUAAAGCUCAAACUCGAAAUUUUAACAUCCAUCAAGGUCUAUCUUAACAUUGCAGAAUCUAAAUUUAAGCUAACCAAAUCCAUUGCAAGCAUUGCAGAACCCAUAUUUGUUGUAGCAAACGGUACGCAAAAAGGAUUCAUCUUCCUGUAUGAGAUCCUCAAAGCUUCAAUCGCAUCAUUGAAAACCUGUUCAUUCCACAACAAGCAAUGUAUAUGAAUCGAUGGAUAUAGAAAGAAAACUAUAUACCAUGACACUUUCCUUCUUCUAGAAAAAGAUUUUACCUUCAUGCCACCCAUUGCUGAACCAAUCAAAACUCCACAUUUCGUUUUAUCUAACUCCUCCAUUACGUCUUCAUUUACUCCCCCAUCUUGCAAAGCUUUCUUUCCGGCAGUAAGAGAAUAAAGCAUGAAUUUGUCCAUCCUCUUGGAAAGUUUCGGUGCGACCCAUCCAUCAGUUGAGAAAGAUUUGAUCUCUCCAGCAAUCCUCUGGAGAGAAAACAGGAGCAGUAAGAACGAGCAGCAGUACAAACAAGAGCAAAACAAGAGAUCCCAAAGACAACUUACAGUCGGAAACUGAGCGCAGUCAAAAGUCUCGAUUUCACUUAUACCACUAACACCCUCGAGCAGGUUGUUAUAGAAAACAUCAGGCUCAUGUCCAAGCGGAGUUACUACUCCCAUCCCGGUCACAACCACUCGUCUUUGCUUCGUAGGAGGCUUCUUCUUCGUUGUAAUCUCUCUUGUGGGUUGCACAGCUAUAGCCAUGGCUUGUCCUAAGUUUUUUUUAAACAAAUUAAACCGCAGAAUGAACUUAAUUUAGCCGGUAAGUUCUACAAACAACACAUAUAAACAAUCUCAUAUACAUACAAAAAGCCCAAAAUUCUAGAAUGCAAAACAAACAUUUUUCCAUUUUAUAUUGAAAGAAGCAGCAAACCCAUGAAAACAAGACAAUUAAUACUACCAACCUACAACAACUUGUUAAAAAGAGAGAGAGAGAGAAAAGCAGAAUCAAUUAUAUCUAUAAUUUAAUUAUUGCGAAAGAAGUACUAAAGCUUGCACAUGUAUAAUCUGUUUGUAUUAAAUUCAGAUUAGCUGAGGAAAUAAUGAUUUUCCAUGGCUAUGGACUUAAUAAGAACUUAAAAUCAACUAUAUUUCUAGCUCUUAAUUUUGUUUUAAAACAAACAAAAAAAAAUCUUGGUGAAAUUGUACAAGGGAACAUUUAUUAUAUCUCUGUUUUCAUUUCUAGACUUGCUUUCAAGAAAAUCAAUUAAAGAAAAAGAGGCAAAAACAGAGCUCUCUACAGGAAUUAAAAUUCAUAACAAUAAAAAAGAAAAAGAACCCAGAUUUGAAAAAGAAACAUUAUAUGUUACCAGAAUGAUGAGCUCGUCGAUUGAGCCUUUUUUGCUUGCGAUUAUUAUUGAAAGGAACAUUUUUGGAGCCGAAGAAAGAUGAAAAGCUUCCAUUUUGACCGAAAAAGCUACCAUUUUUAGAGGAAUAAUAAUCAUUACAAGGCUCAAAAGCCAAGCAAGAAGCCAUCAAGCCUUGAAUGGUGGAUCCACGGAAGGAAGAAAUCAAGCCCACGUCUUUGUUAGGGGUUGCGCCGCCACCACAGCAUUGAGAAAGGAGAGCCUUCCUUCUAUUACGAGCCCAACGGCCGAGCCCGUUCGAAGAAGCGGAGGCUGAUGAGUUGAACAAUGGAGACCGGGACUGGUCUUUACCGUACGUUACCGACAUACAAGCCGCCACCAGCCAAGUGCAUAAAGGACUUGCCAGUGAUGAAGAUGUCAUCAUCCCCCCAAAAGAAAAAAAACAAAUAAAACUAAAGAUUAUAAGUGAAAAAAAAAGAUUGUAAAGAUUUGGGUCUGGAUAAAGAUAGAGUAUUUAUGUGAGGUUAAUAAAAAUCUAGCAACCCAUCAAUGGAAAAAAAAAGCAAAACAAAAAAUAAAGAUUGAAAUUUUGAUGAAGAAGAAAAUCGAAGUUGCAUUCGAUAUUUUGGGGGAAAAAGCUUUGAAUCUGGGCAAUCUCAGUCGUUUCCUUUUAGACUAAAUGACUGCACUGCCAAGUACUUUUUUUUUUUUAAUUUUUGUUAUUUAAAAUUUAAAAUUUAUUUUUUCUCCUCCUGGUUUCAGCGAGAGUUUCAGUUUGUCUCUCGAAUGAGAAAACCAGAAACAAUUUUUCUUUUCUUUUCUUUUUUAAAAAACGAGGAUCUAUGACCAGAAAAAUUGUUCUUAAUUUAUCAGUGGUAAUUUAAUUUUUUAAUGAUAAAAAAUAGGUUUUCUCAUUGUGCUCUUUUGUAUCAUAAAGGUUUGAAUCGGAGCGGUUAAAUUUGGGAACGGUUGAGAUAUCGAUUCAGAGAAAGGUAUUAAAUUGAUUAAAUUAGAUUAAAAAUUUAUUUUAACUCGAUUUUUAUUUUUUUAGUGAUUUUUAUAUAUAUUCAACAUAUUAUAUAAAACUACAUCUUUUUUAAUAUGAUAGAAAUAAAAAGUAAUUAAAAUUAAAAGGAUAAUGAGAUUUUGACAAUGAUAAAAGAAAUGUUUUAAUUUCUUUCUAAAUCAUGUAUGAAUUUUUAGUUUAAAACUUAUCUCAUUUAAAUUUCACUAUUAUAAAUUUUAUAUUAAAAAUGAAAUAGAAAAAUAAUUUAUAAUUUUUAAGGAUUUAAAAUUGAAAUAAUUACCUCAACUAAAAUUCGGACGUGAUUAGUGUUGGAGGCCCGCACAUAUAAAUGCACGAGAGAGGGAGAGACAGAGAGAGAGAAUGAAUGAAUGAACUAAAAAAGGAAAGCUUUUCGGCUUCAUUAUUCCAUCGUUUACCUCUCCAACUCAAAUAACAAUCAAUCAAUUCAGUGCAAACCUCCAUUCCAAAAGACUCUUUCUAUUCGUAGAGGAAGAUAUGGAAAUUGGGAUAAUAAGUGUGAAAAUUCCCCAAAUCUAUUCAUGCAUGUAGCCAAUAGCUAAGAAGACACGUAGAUUGAGCAUUUGUCCUCCAUUGUCACGACUUCAAUCUACAUUGAAGCCUUUUUAAUCCAAUAGGUAAAUCUCUUCUUCUAAAAACCCUAUUUAACUUGUAAGUGUGUUGCUUGAUUACUUUCUCUCUAAAUGUGCUGAACUCGAAUCUCUGUAAACAUUGCUAGUAACUGUCUUGCUCAAUCUGGUUGUUUACUUGCUAGUUUGCUAAUGAUGAAUAGUGAAUCCCCCUCCAAAAUCAUCGAGUUGAAAAUCAACUCAUUCACAAAUUUGAUCGCCUAAUACCUUACAAGAGCUUCCGUUGCGAACACAUCAGGUAUGUGAUUGUUCCACUCGCAUCAAUCCCAUGAUAAAGUAUUGAGAUUUUGUGCCUUUGGUGUGGCUAUUGUCAUUUAUGCUUAUAUUUUUUCAAGCAUAUUAGUUAAUAAAAUUUCAUGGUUAAAUUAUUUUCUUUUGUAUAUUUGUUCUUAUUGGUUUUUGUACGAAAAGAAAAAUGAACAAAGAAAAUAUUAGCUCAUUGAUUACUUAAUGUUUAACUAAUAUUAAGUUGCAUCAUAUGAUUGGAUUAUGAUGUAACACCUAUGGUAGUAACACCUAAGCUGACUGCAACAUAUGGCAGUCCAUUUCCUAAUGGUUAUUUGUAUCGUAGCAUUAUUGGAACUUUACAGUAUGUAUGUCAACAAACUGAGUCAGUACUUGAAUUCUCCAAAUGAUACUCGCUGGCAGGUAGUGAAGCGUGUGUUGAGAUUUCUUAAUGGAACUUUGGAUCAUAGCUUAUACUUCACCAAAGGUUGUUUUGAAAUGGUCUGUUAUUCUGAUGCUAACUGGGCGUCCACUAUUGAAGACAGACGAUCCACCACAGGUUACUGCAUUUACCCUGGCUCCAAUCCAGUUAAAUGGUGUUCCAAAAAGUAGACUGUUGUUUCUAAAUCCUCCUAAGAAGCAGAAUAUCACAAUCUCGCAAAUUGUAUUAUUGAACUACUAUGGGUGAAGUAGCUGCUAACUGAAGUUGGUGUCCAUCUACAACAUACUCCAGUAGUGUGGUGUGACAACACCUCCACGGUGUCAAUAGUAGCCGAUCCAACUCAUCAUGCUAAAGGUUAAGGUGGAGAUUGAUCAUCACUUUGUCCGAAAGAAAGUUCAUGAUGGUAUCCUGCAUGUCAAUUUUGUGCCCUUAGCAAGCCAAAUUGUAGAAGUUCUCACCAAACCUAUCACUCCAAAGAAGUUUUCUUCCUUUUGAGAUGCCUUACGAGUCCUCCCUUUGAGAAAUAGUCAACCAAAGAGGUCAACACAAAACAGAACAUCGGAAGAAUGUUAGAGUAGUAGCAGUUGAGUAGUUAGUUUGUUAAAGAAAGGUUAAAGAAGUUAGUAGUUAAAGAUAGUUACAGAAGUUAGUUAGCAGCUUAGCACCCUUUGAUAUCAUGUGUAUAAAUACAAAUCAUACAUUUAAUAUGUGUAGAAUUGAAAAAUUAAAUCCAUAUAUUAAAAUUGUAAAAUUUGAAAAUGAAUCAAUCAAAAAAUGAUAGAGAAUCAAUUCGUUCUCAAUGAUUCAACAUGACGAGGCUCGGAUGCCACUUGUAAGAUUCGUAAAACAAGAUCUGAUAUAAACUUAAAAUUGUAAACCAAGAUUUGUCAUGUCAAAUUAUCAAUAAUAAAUCAAGAACAAAAUUAAAUGUGAAAGCAUACCUAAAUCCAUUGAUUUAUUGGAAUCUUGGAUCUUAUGGUCCUGAUCUUCCAAAUUAGCACACAAGUAAUUCAGAGAAUCUGGCUCUCUUUUUUCUAAAGAUUUGAUAUUAGAAAAGUUACGUAUGUGUAAUUUGAGGACUAUAACUCUAACAUAUAGCUUUUGCAUAUUAAUCCUAAUUUCUAAUCAACCCAUCAUCAAUUACAAAUUAGUUACUAGAGUAUCUACACAUAUUUGACCCAUACUUUAUUUAAUAACUAAAUCCCAAUAAACCUUAACUAAAUUAGAUCACUUUUAAUUUGGGCUAAUUUUUUUUAUGAUGGUAAAUAAUAACACGUAAUUACUCUUAUUAUAUAUGUAAUGUCAAUAUUUUCCAAUAGGAGAGGAAUAAAUAUAGUAUUUCUUUUAGAUUUGAAGAUAUGAUGAGAAGAAAUGGUGAUGGUUAGUUAUAGGGGAAUUUUUUGGAGUUGAAAGAAUGAAAGACAUGUAAUGUUUUGGGAGAAAUAGAUUUUUCUGAGACCUCUUAUUGGAUACAUAUUCAUAAUUUACCUUUGAAACCCAGCUCGCGGAGACCUAGGGAAGGUUGCAGUCUCACCUUAUAUAUACCCAAGGAACUCGUAGGAAGUGCCACGUGCUCCACAGGCCACCCAGGCACGCAUUCAGCAGGUACGGAGCUCACCCUGAAUGCUAGUCCCAGGAACAAAAAGGACCCUGUGCUCCAUAGACAUGUGCCCAACAAAUUUGGAGCUCGCAGAGAAUGUCAAUACUAGAGACAUCAGAGUCAAGACAAAAUAGUGGAGUCCUAUCAUGAGCUGUAAUGGCAGCAGUAGCAAAAUGUAUAAAUACUCAGAUACUCGUAUCAAUAAGACACAAGCAAAAUAUUACUCAACAAAUUUUAAUAUUUAUCUUUUAUAUUUGUAAUAGCUUUCUCCUGUGAGAUACACAUGUUAAACUACAAUAGGUUUUUGUGGUCCAAAAAUAAAUGAUAUGUUCUGGUGGUGUAACGUGGUGAGGUCAAGUCACGUCCACUUAUUUUUAAAUUAAUUAAUUAAUUAAAAUCUAUUAAUUUUUUUAUAAACCUUUUGUCGAAACCGUUUUUUUGAAAACAAAAAUUUUAGUUGUCGACUUUUUAAAAAUAAAACUGGAGUCGCCACCGAUCCUUUAUUAAGGUGUGACCGGCCCACCUCAAAAAUCAUUUUGGUCUGCGAAUUUUAAAAACAGGUUCGGGAGUCAGUUACGCACGAGGAAGGGUUAGCACCCUCGUAACGCCCAAAAAUCGGUACCAAAUUGACUAUUUAAUGUCUUUGUGUCGAAAGUUAAAAAAGAUUUUAAAAUAAGCUUGAAUGAUGAAAUUGGCAAAAGGAUAAUCAAUUGUUCAAGUCAUGUAAAGAAAUCGAGUCCCAAUACGUUAGGGUACAAUUCCUCAUAAUCCCCAAACUUGAAUAUCACUUUUAUUUUAUACGAAAAUCUUCAUUUCGAGAAAGUAACAUGCCACACACAAUACGUUAGGGCACAACAAGUUAAGUUCCCAAAAAUGAUUUUUAUGCAUUUUGAAUAAAAAUAUUCUCGGUCAUUUAGGAUUGACAAAGAAAAUCAGAACCCAAUACGUUAGGGCUCAAUUCCCCUCAAAAAUCCCAAACUUCCAAAAAUGCUUUCAUUCAAAACCUUUAAAUCAAAAAAUAACUUUGAUGAAUGGUUAAAACCAAAAUAUAUUUCCAAAAGGGUAUGUUAAAGUUGAUGUAUAAUAUGAAGCAAAAACUUUCAUUUAGAACGUAUAUAAAUACAUAUUUACAAAAUAUAUAUGAGUACAAUAUACAAGUAUGUUCGAAAAUAUGUACAAGCAUGCAUUUAACACGUAAAUACAAGUGUACAUAUAACAAGGAAAGUAAAGAAGUAUAUACAACAAGCUUACAAUAAUUUCUAAGAAUAUGCAUGCAAAACAUAUGUAUGUAUACGUGAAAAUUGCGAAGAUAAAAAAAAAUCAAAAUAUGCAUAUGCAUUAUAAAAUAUAAGUGUAUACACAUAUAUACAUAUAUUUAUUUAUAAAAACUAUGAAAACAAAAUAUUUAUGAAAUAUGAGCGUAUAAGGAUUAAAAUAUGUAUGUAUGCAUAUAUAUAUAUAUAUAUAUAUAUGAAUGUAAAAUUAUGAGAAUAAAAUAAAAUAUAAAACGUGCGGAUGUGUUUAUGUUUAAAAAAAUGUAUAAAUACGUAUAUAUAAAAUAUAAGGUAUAUAAAAAUAUAAAGGAUAAAAAGAUAAAAUAAAGGAAAUAAAAUGUAUGUAAAACGUACAAAAACAUAUGCAUGCAUUUUUAAAGCUUAAGAAUAUAUAUGCUAGUAAUGAAAAUAUGAAAAGAAAAUAAUAAAAGUUAUGCGUUUGUAAAAAAAAACCGAAAUAUAAAACAAUAUGUAUAUACACGUACAUGAAAAUCAUAAAUGGUAUUAGUAUAAUAAUAAGUAAUAAUAGUAAUAACAAACGAGUAACAGUAUAUUUAAAAAAAAUAAAAAACCAAAUAAAGUAAAAAAAACCAAAUUGUACAAAAGACAAAAAAAUGGGGGUAAAUUCAAAAAUAAUAAAAAAAGGAUCAAUUUGAACACGCGAGCGACAAUGGGGGACUAAAAAGGAAAUAAUUCCUUCCCUUCCAAAACGCUGCGCAAUGAGGUAUCAAAUUGAAAUAAAAAUGGAAUACGCGGCCCAAAUUUGAAAACCAGUGGAAAAUGGUUCAAUUGACAUGCGUUGCAAAAGGGAGGGGUUAAAUUCGCAAAUUCCCCAUCUGACGUCAGAACGCGCGGAUCCUCCCCAUCGGGUCGGGUCACCGCGCGGGUCAGGGCCUUAAAAACGACAUAUUUUUUGCAGCGUUAUUUAAAACAAAAUUUCCUUUCAAAAUCAUUUACAACCGAAAAUAAAAAAAACACCCCUCUUUUGCUCUGCUAGGGUUUCACCCCUAGCGUCCUCGUGCCGCCGCCGCAACGCGCCUCCGCCGCGAUUUCACCGAGAAUGGUGAUCGGAAAGGCGAUACGACGGGCUUUUAACUGCCCUUGAGCAGAUUCAAAGUGAAGGUAAACCCCCUUUCUCUUUUUUCUAAUUUUAGUUAUACAAAAACAAUAAAACGUAAAAUGCAAAGGAAAAAAACAGUAGUGGGGUUCACCUUUUUAAAAAACUUGUAUUCUGAGUUUUCUUUUGCCUUUUUUUCUCCUCCUUUUUUACAGAUUUAAAAGGGCCUUUUAUAGGCCGAAAAAAGAAAAUAAAUCGAGGGAAAACAAUAUUGCUCGUUGUUUUUUCUCAUUGGACUCCUUGAGUCCGUUUUUCAGGUGCUCGUGGAGAGUUUGGCACGCGUGGAGGCCGAAACUUGCGGCGAUCGGGCGUUGGGCGCGGCGUGGAUGCUGUUGCGGCGCUGAGGCAGAUGCGGCUAGGGUUUUGUUUUUUGUGUUUUGCUGUGUUGAUCUUUGGGUUUGGGCUGCUUUGUUGGGCUUGUAAAAUGUAGGCCUGUUCAUUUUUGUUUCGGCUUAUUACGUAGGCCCAGGCCGAUUGGGCCUUAUUACACCUUUCAUUUUAAAUUUUAUUAGCAUAAUUUCGAUUUGCUAGUUAUUUUUUAAUAAUGAGAAAAAUAAUAGUUAAGUACGAAGUUAUCUAAUUAUUUUUUAAAGUUUGAAAAUUAUAAUUAUAAUUACAACUAAUAUAUUUUAAAAUCAUUAUAAUCGUAAUUAAAUUAUUGGAUUAAAAAUUAAAAUAAAUCCUAAAUCAUAAUGAAUUUUUAAGAAUGGUUAAUCCUAUUAAAUUUUUUUAUUAAAUUUAGGUUUAUUAUAAUGUCAUUUUUUACAUAAAUUCCAAGUAAGUUUUUUUUUAAAUUUUAAAUUAUCACACCAAUAAAUUUAACAAAUGAAUUUUAACAAUGUUAACAAAUAGACUUACAUUUUUAAACUUAAAAAGUAGAGGGACUAAAUUCCUGAAAGUAAAAGUAUGAAAACUAAAUUCCAAAUAUACGAAUAGUACAAGAAUUUAGAGCAUAUUCCAGUCUUUAAAUUUUUUUUACUUUAUAAUUACUUUGAUUUCUCAAGGUAUCUACCGGAGCGAGUCCAAUAACUAACCCUCCGCAUUCUAUAAGCACAUUAAGGGGUAGAUGUAACACCCCCUACCCGUAUCCGUUGUCGGAAUAGGGCACGAGGCAUUAUCGGAGUUUACUGAAUAUUUUCAAUAAUUCUGAGUCAUUUAUUAUUCAUAUUCUGAAAAUAAUCAUAACGUCCCUCUAUUGGACCCUUAAAGCUCAAAACAUUCAUUAGGAACCUACUGGGAUUAAAUCGGAAUCAUAGGUAAUUUUUCGCAGAAUUCUAAAUAUAUAUAUAUAGAUUUUAAUUUUUUUAUUUUCGAAUUAGGUGCAGGAUUCAUACGGGCGUAUCACAUAACAAAUCUUUUCAUAAGAAAUUUACAUAACUGAAACAUUUCCACUCUUUCAUAAGCUCAAUUAUAUUUUCAUCUAAGCACUUACCAUGCCAAUGCACUUUAUAAUUAAAUAUAUUACCAUUCAACAGUAAUUUGACACUUGCCUAAACUUCAAGCAACAACAUUGGUUAGUGUACUUUAAUAUUGACAAACUUAUUUUCUAGCCAUGUCUCACUUAAAUUUAUUACUUGUCCUAAUACACAUAAUUUUCCUUGUAUCAACGUAUCAAAGAUAGUCUCAUAUUUUCUUAUUGUUUCUUCUUAAAUAUAAAUCAUUCAAUUCAUUAUGACAAUAUUUCAUGUACCAUAAUUUUCUAUAAGUUCAAUGUAUAUUUAUUCCAGUAGCAGUUCAUAAUCUUGAAUAUGCAUAAUUAUCAGGCAAGUUUCACAUACAUGUAUUUUCCAUGUCAUAUUUCAGUAUAUCAAAUAAUUAUCAUUCCUAUGUAUUUCAAGUUUAAUUUCAUGAUUUUAGGUACUUAUCAUUUUCUAUUUUUAUCCUAUUGAAUUUCUCGAAAUUUCGAUGGAUUUUCAGGGGUACACUUUAGUGUACAAACUCGGGUCCGUCAAUUCAUAUUCAUGUGCGCACAUUUUCCAAUUCAGAGAGCACACUCCCGCGAACCUCAUUUCUUACAGCGGGAUUACCAGUCCAGGCUAAAUCCCCUGUAAUAUAAACUCAUAGAGUAUUGUCGGGAUUACCAGUCCAGGCUAAAUUCAGACCCUAAUUCGGAUUACCCGUCCAGGCUAAAUCCAUUUUCCACAUAUUCUUCGGGAGGGCUAUAUCAAGAUCACCCGUCCGGGCUAGAUCCUUUUUACCGUCAAUUCCUUUUCAGAGAUCCAUCGAAUUCUCCUUCCAUUCAACCGGGAUUUCUUCCCUUUUUAUUAAAUAUAUCAAUGUUUCAUCAAUUUUCAUACAAUGAACAUUCAAAUCAUAUUCACAUUGUUGACACCAUUUUUUUGAUGAGAAACAGGUCGACUUGGGUUUUGAAAAAUGAAACGGGAGUCGCCACCAAUCCCUUUUUUAUGAGGUGUGAUUGGAUCACCUCGAAAAGUGGUUGUUUUUAAUAAACGAUUUGAUUUUAUUAAAACAACAAGUUUGGUCCACGAAAUUCAAAAAAAUGGGUUCGGGAGUCAGUUACGUACGAGGAAGGAUUAGCACCCUCGUAACGCCCAGAAAUUGGUACCUAGCUGAUUAGUUAAUGUCUUGAUGUCGAAAAUCGAGAACUUAGAAAAAUUAAGAAUACGAUCCUUGUAUUAAAUAAAAAUUUGGGAAAAGAAGCAUAUUUCACAUUAAUCGAGAAAGAGAAUCAUAUCCAGUAAGUUAGAAUACAAUGUCUCAAAUUCCCGAUACACGAAUGGAAAAUGCUUAUUUAAAAGAUAUUUUAGCCAUCUCGGAUUUAAAAAUGAGAUCACGACCAGUAAGUUAGGACGCGAUUUUUUUCUUAAAAUCCCGAGAUCAUUUAAAACUUGAGUUUAAAAAGAUUCGUCCAUUUAGAUUUAUCGUGAAAAUCGAAACCCAGUAAGUUAGAGUACGAUUUUCUCGAAUCUAAACACGAAAUAUUAUUUAUUCAAAACAAACUUGUUAUAUCGAAUAAAAUGAAAUACGAAAAUCGUAGGAAAAAUACGAAAGCCAAUAAAAUCAUAAUGCACGCAGAAAUGUAAAAAUAAUACGAACAAUAGCGACAAUAUAAUAAAAAUCAUACUUACAAUCAUAUAAAAUAACAAUAUAUAAACAAAUAAAUUAAAACAUUCAUUCAAAAUAAUAAAGAAAAUCAAAUAAACAAACAAACAAAUCAGAUAAAUAAAAUUAUAAAAAAUGUAAAAAGUUGUAUGUAUGUAUGCGGAAAAUAUGAAUCAUAUAUGUAAAUGAGUAUGUAAAUAUAUAUAUAUGUAUAUUAAGAUUAUAAAAUGAAUAAUAAUAUAUAUACAGGUAUAUGUGUAUAUGGACUAAAAUAUAUAAAGUAAUAUAUAUGUAUAUGAAUUUAAAAAGUAUAUAAAAAGGUAUAUUUUAAAUUAAAGAUUGUGUGUAAGUAUGUAUAUAUAUUUAUAAAAAUGAAAAUAUGUAUAUAGAUAUAUGGAUAUGAAUAUAAGUUGUAAAAUAUAUAUAAAGAAAAAUAAGCGUAUAUGUAAGUUAUAAUAUAUAUAUGUAUAUCAUAAAAUAUAUGCACAUGUAUAUAUGUAUAUAUCGAAAUUUGAAUUAAAAAGAUAAUAAUAAUAAUGAUAAUAAUAAUAAUAAUAAUAGGACUAGAUUAAAACUGAACCAAAAUUUCCGGGCUAAAAUAAGAAAUAAAUUAAGGUACGGGAUCGAAUUGUGAUGCGCGCGAAAAAGGGGGGGACCAAAAUGGAAAAUAAGCCAAAGCCUCCCAAAACGCUGCACAGUAAUGGACCGAAUUGAGGCAAAAAUAAAAUUUUGUGGCGAAAUUGCAAAUAUGCGAAAAAUUUCCAUGAAAGCACUACAGAAUCAAAGGGACUAAAUGCGCAAAUUACCCAAUAGUUAAAAACACGCGGAUCCUCCCAUUAGGUCGGGUUACCGCGCGGGUCAGAGACCAAAAUGACGUCGUUUUUGGUCUCUGAACCCAAAGCCCAAACGGUGCCGUUUUGUGGGGUUUUUUAAACCCAAAAUUUUCCCAAAAAUCUCAUUUCCACCCACCAUUUAAAAAAAAAUUCAAAAGACCCUCUGUUUUCUCAAAAGGUCCGGCCCUUGGGUUCUCCUAGCGCCGCCGUUACGCCACCACGGACGGUGGUCGGCCUCGCGCAAAUAGGCACCUUACCCAUCCAUUUCAGGACCUUAUUGAAGGCCAGAUUUACAUGGCCUAAAGAGCCGAGAGGAGAGGCUUUGGAACCCAACUUUUAGGACCGAUCUUCGACGAGAAAUAACCCUCAAUCGGCGCAACCGAACGGCUCUCAGGUGAGUUCCCUUUUUUUUCCUUUCUUUAUUAUAUAUAUAUGUAAAUAAACGAAAAAAGACAAGAAAUAAAAAAUAAAAACGAAGAAGAGUACUCUUAAUCACCUUAAAACUUAGUUUGUAUUUUAUUUCUUUUUUGCUAAUCUCUGUUUUGUUACAAAGAGUACCCCCCCUUUUCUAUUUGAAUGGCUUUUAAAUAGCCAUUUUACAAUUUUCUAUUGUCUCUACUACUGUUUUGUCCUUCUUUGCGUGAUUUUCUUCUUUGCAGGCAAGUGGGGUGAUGGGACGGUGGCAGAAAGCAGGUGAACGGCGGAGUUGGUGGCGGUGGCAGAGGGUAGGUGAUGGGGGCAUUGUAAUUGGGUCUGCUGGUAUGGGUUAGUGUUUAGGUGGGUUAUUGGGUUUGUGGGUAUUGGGUUCUUUUGUUAGUGGGCCGGGCAGAAAUUGGGUUUGUACAGCUGCCCCUCUUUGCUCGUUGUCGUGUAACGAUAACAGAGCAAAGACUAAGAAAGACCAAUUUUUGCCCAGUCUUUGCCGAGUAUUGACUUCUCUUGACGCUUCUUUUCAAGUAACUUUAUUCUAGUCCACUGUGUCUUGUUGCGUCGACCCACUCCACUGUAACUUCCAAAAGACAAAACUUGUAGCUUCAAUCCACUCUAUUGUAGCUUCAGGGGGUAAGGUCCAUCAUUUUGACCCGCUCCACUGCAACUUCGGGGAGAUCGGACUCAUAUCUUCAGCUUGCCCCACUACAACUUCAGGGGGAUAAGAUUCGUGACUUCAACCUGCUUUACUGCAACUUCAGAGAGACAAGGUUUGUGACUUCGCUUCCAUCUAUUCUACUACAACUUUAGGGGAAUAAGAUUAGACAUGAUAAGAAUCACUAUCUUCUGUCCGCUCCGCUACAACUUUAGGGAGACACGCAUUAUUGUUUUCAGUCUGUUCCACUGCAUCUUCAGGGAAAUAAGACUUGAUGCGAUCUACUCUGCUGUAACCUCAGAGAGAUAAGAUCCUUUAUUUUAAUCCGCUCCACUGUAACUUCAGGGAGAUAGGAUAGUGUCUUCGAUCUGCUCCGCUGUAAUCUUAGGGAGAUAAGAUCUCUGGCUUCAAUCUGCUCCACUGUAACCUCAGGGAGAUAAGAUCCGAAAUUCUUUGGUCUAUUCCACUGUAAUCUCAGGGAGAUAAGACCUGAUGUGAUCUUCUCUACUGUAACUUCAGAGAGAUAAGAUCCUUUAAUCCGCUCCAUUGUAAUCUCAAGGAGAUAGGAUUACUAUCUUUGAUCUGCUCCGCUGUAAUCUCAGGGAGAUAAGAUCUGAAAUUCUUUGGUCUGUUCCACUGUAAUCUCAGGGAGAUAAGACCUGUAUAAUAAACCUAAUUAUGCCUAAUGAUUAGGAUGACAUGAUCAAAAUGAAACAAAUGCUCCUAACUAGACAUAUGUGAAUGGUGUUUGCAUGAAUGCAGAAUUUUAUUUUUCCGAGAAUGAUCUCGCUUAGGUUAUCACUACUCGAAGUUUAUCAAGGUUUUGUGACUGAUGUGCUACAACGCCUUCUCGCUUGACUAAUUUUUCUGAAGAAACAUUUAGCCAGACUGUCCCCAUUAUAAACCUCAAAGUUAUAUCCACUGGGACGCCAAAAUUUGUACCAUCAUUCUCUCACAGUAAUCUAAGGGUAGAAAUAUGUGGCUUUUCCUCUGUCCUCUUUUAUCACAAUUCGGAGAUAUAGGAUCUGAACCGUUCUGGUUUCCUACACCAUUCUCAAGGUGUCGUACCAAAGUCUUAUGCGCAAGUGAAGGCUCUCUUCUCCGAGGUAACCUCUUCCUAUUGCCUGAUGAUCAUUGCUUGCUUGUUCAUUUAAGCUUUGUAAUUAACACGACAGCUUGUCAUUUUGUUCAAUCAAUGUUUAGACGAAAAAAUCUGAAAGGAUAGUCUUUAACUUAGACUCUUCCUUCCUAGCUAUUUCACCCUUUAAACUUGGUAUUUUCUAAACAAUAGUCAUGUUUCAGGUCCCUAUAUUAUUUAGAAAUUUUCCAAAGUAAUGUGCAAAACUUCUUUCCUGAAAGUUUUAUUAGUUCGUUAAUCAUUAUUCCUAUGCAACAUGUUUGCAAAAAGAUCAUAACAAUGGAUAAGAAUAAAGCUAGCUCUGAUCAUAAUUCAAAUAAAACAUCAAAGAUGGCGAAAGAAAGGUAACAAAGAAGUGGAUUGAGAAUGUGCGUUUUCACAAAAGGAAAGGAAGAAAGAAAAUAAAAAAAUGUAUUUUCAAGAAUACACAUAAGAACUAGGUGCCCCAGUUAUCGCCGCUUGAGUUUCUCUGUACAAACUUUCCGAAGGCCCUUCUGAGUUUGACAUGUGUUCAGGAGAUCUGCAAUACUCUGUCAAUGUUCCAAGACGUUGCAUAUCCUUCCUUAUUGGUAAAGCAAGAUCAUCAUAUGCCCCUGAUCAAAAUUUGAUCCACUCAAGUCCUGAUGUUCCAAUCCUGCCCAAUACUUGAGUCGCCCUUUUCGGGUUUUCGACUCAAGCCCAUCUUUGGUCUCAAAGUGCCCUUUACGGGUUUUCACCUUAGCCUCUCCAAAGUCCCCUUUUUUUUUUAGGAAGCAAAGCGCCCUUUACGGGUUUUCACUUUGGUUCCCCUUUCUUUCAAGUGAAGUAUUUCUUGACGGAGUCUGCGUUUACAGGAUUUGGUAAACUUUUGCCAUCCAUCUCGCAUAGGAUCAAAGCUCCACCGGAAAAGGCCUUCUUUACAACAUAAGGGCCUUCCCAAUUUGGCAUCCAUUUUCCUCUAAAAUCUUUUUGCAUAGGAAGAAUCUUUUUUAGUACCAAGUCCCCUUCACGAAAUUCUCGGGGGCGAACCUUUUUAUUAUAGGCUCGCAUCAUUCGUUUCUGGUACAUUUGCCCAUGGUGAAUAGCUCUUAGCCUCUUUUCUUCUAUUAGGUUCAACUGAUCGUACCGAGAUUGGAUCCAAUCGGCUUCAUCCAACUGUAGCUCAGAUAACACCUGUAGAGAAGGGAUUUCAACUUCAAUGGGUAAUACUGCCUCCAUUCCAUAAACCAGAGAAAAAGGCGUUGCCCCAGUAGAAGUUCUAACAGAUGUUCGAUAGGCAAGGAGAGCAAAUGAUAAUUUCUCAUGCCAAUCCUUGUAGGUUUCAGUCAUUUUCCCCACAAUCCUUUUAAUGUUUUUAUUGGCCGCCUCCACUGCACCGUUCAUUUUGGGACGAUACGGCGAUGAGUUAUGAUGCUUAAUUUUAAAUUUUCUACAAACUUCAGCUAUUGUGCUAUUAUUCAAGUUCAUCGUAUUGUCGGAUAUGAUCCUCUCAGGCAUUUCAUAUUGACAAAUGAUCUCCUUCUUCAAGAAUUUGCUGACUACUGCUUUCGUGACAUUUGCAUAUGAAGCAGCUUCCACCCACUUGGUAAAGUAAUCAAUUACUACGAAGAUGGAGCGAUGCCCAUUAGAAGCCUUUGGUGAUAUUGGCCCAAUAACAUCCAUACCCCACAUGGAAAACGGCAAAGGAGAGGUCAUGACGUGAAGAGGUGAAGGAGGCGCGUGUAUUUUGUCUCCGUAAAUUUGGCAUUUGUGGCACUUCCUGGCAUGAUCAAUACAAUCUCCUUCCAUGGUGGGCCAAUAGUACCCAAAUCUCAUGAUCUGUCUGGCCAUCGUGAAACCACUGGCUGCGUCCCACAAAUACCCUCAUGGACUUCUUCCAAAAUUUUCUUGGCUUCCACAGCAUCCACACAUCUUAACAGUACUUGAUCCUUCCUUCUUUUAUAUAACACUUCUCCAUCUAAGACAUAUUCAAUGGCUAUCUUUCUCAGAGUUCUUUUGUCAUUCUCUGUCGCUUGAUCAGGGUAUUCCCGAUUCUUCACAUAUUGUAGGAUACUCUGAUACCAAGGACAAUCAUCUUUUCCCUCCUCCUCAAUAUUACAGCAAUUAGCCGGGGUCUCAGAGAUACUCAUCUGAACAGGCCUCAUUGCCUCAAGUCUAUUCACCUGAAUCAUCGAAGCUAGAGUAGCUAAUGCAUCAGCCAUUUGGUUUUCCUCCCGUGGGAGGUAAUAGAAGGUGAUAUCGUCAAACUCCUCAGCCAAUUCAAGAACUAGUUUUCUAUAGCCGAUUAGCUUAGGAUCUCUAGUCUCCCACUCCCCUUUGAGUUGGUAUAUCACCAACGCUGAAUCCCCGUAUACUCUCAGUACUUUGAUGUUCCGUUCAAUGGCUGCACGAAUGCCCAUAAUACAUGCUUCAUAUUCUGCCAUGUUAUUUGUACAAUCGAAGUCCAACUUGCUAGCAACAGGAUAAUGAUCUCCACUUGGGGAUACCAAAACUGCCCCAACUCCAUUACCCGUAGCAUUUGAAGCUCCAUCAAAAUUUAACUUCCAUACGUGAUCCAUUUGAGGAUUUUCUUCAGUAUUCGCCACAUACAUCAAGUCCUCGUUUGGAAAAUCGAAAUUCAAAGAUUCAUAGUCCUCCAAGGCUCUACUAGCUAGGAAAUCAGCUAUUGCACUUCCCUUUAUGGCCUUCUGACUGACAUAUACUAUAUCAAAUUCUGAGAGCAAGAUCUGCCAUCUAGCCAUUCUCCCGUUCAAAGCAGUCGAUUCCAUCAUAUAUUUUAAAGGAUCUAACUUUGAAAUCAGCCAAGUCGUGUGAUACAACAUAUACUGCCUCAGUCUUCGGGUUGCCCAGAUUAGAGCACAACACAACUUCUCAAUUGAUGAGUACCUCAUUUCGCAAUCGGUAAAUUUCUUACUGAGAUAGUAUAUUGCCCUUUCUUUCUUUCCCGUCUCAUCAUGUUGGCCCAAUACGCAUCCCAUGGAAUUCUCCAACACUGUUAGAUACAAUAUCAAUGGCCUAUCUGGACUUGGAGGUGAUAAGACUAGAGUAUUAGCCAAGUACUGCUUUAUCUUAUCGAAAGCCCUCUGACACUCUUCAUCCCAUUCGCCCGGAUUAUGUUUCUUUAAGAGCCGGAAUACUGGAUCACAUUUCUCUGUCAGUUGUGAGAUGAACCGAGCAAUGUAAUUCAGCCUCCCUAGGAAACCUCGAACCUCCUUCUGAGUGCGCGGGGGAGGUAAAUCUCGUAUUGCCUUUACUUUGUCUGGGUCAACCUCGAUCCCCUUUUUGCUAACUAUGAAGCCUAAUAACUUCCCUGAUCUGGCUCCAAACAUGCAUUUGGCCGGGUUAAGCUUGAGCUGAAAUUUCUUUAAUCUCAAAAAUAACCUUUUCAAGACCUGAACAUGCUCUUCUUCCGUUCUAGACUUCGCGAUCAUAUCGUCAACAUAGACUUCGAUCUCCUUGUGCAUCAUGUCGUGAAACAAAGUCACCAUAGCUCUUUGAUACGUUGCUCCCGCAUUCUUCAAUCCGAAGGGCAUUACCUUGUAACAGAAUGUUCCCCAUAAGGUAAUGAAUGUGGUUUUCCUCAUGUCUCCAGGAUGCAUCUUUAUUUGAUUGUAUCCAGAGAAACCGUCCAUGAAAGAAAACAAUGAAUAGCCCGCCGUGUUAUCUACCAAAGUAUCAAUGUGAGGCAGUGGAAAGUUGUCCUUUGGACUAGCCUUGUUUAAAUCCCUAUAAUCCACACACAUUCGUACCUUUCUAUCUUUUUUGGGAACAGGGACAAUGUUGGCUACCCAAUCCGAAUACUUGACCUCUUGUAAGAAACCAGCGUCGAAUUGUCUUUUGACUUCUUCUCUUAUUUUCAACACAAUGUCAGGUCUCAUUCUCCUAAGCUUCUGUUGAACGGGUUUACAAUCCUCCUUUAUGGGCAGACGAUGCACCACAAUGCUAGUACUUAGCCCAGGCAUAUCUUGGUACGACCACGCGAAAACAUCCUUGAACUCUCGGAGCAAAUUAAUGAGGUCUUGCCUUGUCUUUGCGGUGUUUUCAGUUCCAAUUUUCACCUCCUUUCCAUCCUCUAGGCUCACUAUUUCUAACGAUUCCCUAUGAGGUAGGAUAUGCUUAUCUUCUUGUUCCAUCAUUCUUAACAAGUCCGGAGAUGCAUCAUAAUCUUCGUCAUUUUCAAAGUCGUGGGAUCCCUCUGAACACACUUCUUGCUCAAAAAUAGGCUCCGUGUUUGAGGCAGUGUCACUCAUGUCAUUAAUAUCUGAAGACCUAUGAGGGCACAUCAAAGAAUAUACCAAGAAUAUAAAUUUAUGAAUAUGUUUGUGCAAAAGAAUUACAAAUGAAAGAAUUAUUGGUAAGACAAUCAACCAAAUGAAAAAUAUGAAAGGAAAAAAAAUGACUGAUCGAGAUGAACGUAGACACGUAUUUCAUUAAAAUAAUGAUAUUUAGGCCCAAUGCCUAUUUCACAAAAGAUUUCAUAUCGUUUCUAGGCCAACAAACAACAGGAAUGUUUUGAGCAUUACUCUGAAUAAGCCCUAAAGACUACAGGGAUUUCUUCAGCAGUCCAAUUGUUUAGCUCGCUUCCAGGCUUAUAAGGGCAGAUCUCCAACAAAGCCCUCCUUUCUGUUGCUUCUAUGGCGUUGGUAUAAACGUUUUCCAACAUUCCUCUCAUGCCGCUACCGGACACUCCAUAUUCAGAAUGAAUAAAUCCUCCCGACACAAAAGAUGUAGAUAUGUGGGGAAAGGUUAAAGGCUCACACUUAGCUUUAUGUCCAUUCAAACGCGCUCUUCUUCUCUCUUCUCUCUUCUCUACUUCUUUCUUCUUCUGUUUCAUGUCUGGAUUGUACCCUAAACCAAAUCUAUCAAACUUUUCCUUCGGCAUUGGUGCCUCAAUCCUUCCCUGAAGAUAUUUUCCCAAUCCUUUCCCGGGUAAGGCUCCUCUUCCUACCAUCAAUCGCAAUCCCAUCUCAGUGGUCCUGGAUAUUUUCGGUACUAGAAUUCUAUUUCCCUCCGCAAUAAACAUCGCGUUCACAAAUUCUAACGACCGAAAAGAACUUUCUAGUGCCUCAUCGUUGAUGUCCACAUAAGGUGCAUCGCUAGUCAUCAUUGCGAUAAUAUCCUCCUCUGCAUCUAUUGUUACCAACCGAUCCUCCGAUACCAACUUCACCUUCUGAUGUAAUGAUGAAGGUACUGCCCCUGCUGAGUGUAUCCACGGUCUCCCCAAUAGACAGUUGUAGGAGGGUUUAAUAUCCAUUACCAAGAAAUCCACCUCAUAAGUGACUGGGCCAAUCCUUAAUGGUACCUCAAUUCUCCCCAUAACCUCUUUUUUUGUUCCAUCAAAUGCCCUUACUAUGCUCUGGCAUGCUUUCAUGUGCGAACUGUCUAUUGGUAAUCGACUAAGAGUGGACAAAGGUAAUACAUUUAGUGCAGAUCCAUUAUCAACCAAGGCCCCCGGGAGUGUGUACCCUUUGCAUCGGACAGUAACAUGCAGGGCUUUAGUAGAACCUCUUCCCCCGGAUGGUAUUUCAUCAUCACUGAAGAAGAUAAAAUUGUCAGCACCAAUAUUGUUGAUCAGCCGAUCCAGCUUGUUUACCGAAAUAUCGUCAGCCACAUAUGUUUCGUUUAGCACCUUUAAUAGUGCAUUCCGAUGUACUUCUGAGUUUAAGAGUAAAGCUAAUACAGAAAUGCGGGCUGACUGUUUGUGCAGUUGCUCCACAACACUGUAUUCACUGUGUUUCAAAAACUUCAAAAACUCCUUUGCCUCCUCUUCUUUUAUUGGUUCAUUUACCAAUGGUUCAACUUCUACUGCUUUCCCUUUCCUCUGUUCUUUCUUCCAAUUCUCUUCCCUGGACGACUCUGCUUGAGCGUCAUAUCUUUUUCCAUUGCGCGUGUAAGAACCUAUUUCCUGAUUUCUUUCUGCUUCUUUUCCCAAAAUGGUCACAUUACACCCGUAAUUCCACGGCACCAUUUUGUUAUCCCUAUAAGAGAAAUUUGAUGGUUUCUGGAUUACAAUUUUCGGUGUUACCUGAGCCCUAACCUCAUUACCCUUAGGGCGUGAGAUAAUGACCACAGGAUGAUUUAUUUUUGGAGCCUUUGUUCCCAACUCUGUCGCGCAUAUGCUCCUCAUUUCUUUCGCAUCUUCGUAAAACCUCAUCUCCUUGUUAUCCAUCAUGCUUUGAACCAAAGCCUUAAAUCCUUCACAUUCUUGGAUUUCGUGCCCUGUUUUAUGGUGAAAUUCACAAUAAUUUCCCAUCUCAUGCCCUUCCUCAGAAUCUGAAAUAACCAAACCUCUUUUCACCAUUUCUUUCCAGACCCGUUUCAAUGGAGUUUUUACUUCAGCAAUGUCAGUCUUGGCUUCUUCUCCCGUACCUUCUCUAACCAUAUUCACCCCUUUAUCUGCGUGAUUAGGUAACGGAUUCUUUGCGUUAGGUGAGUCGUCAAGUUUGACGACACCUAAAUUGAUAAGUCCUUCUACUACCUUCUUGAAGGCAGUACAAUUUUCUAUCGAGUGCCCAGAAAUUCCCGCAUGAUAAUCACAUUGCGCGUUCAUAUCAUACCAUUUUGGAUACGGGGGUUGUAGAGGACUCAAGUACCGAGGAGCAACAACAUGUGCAUCGAAUAAAGUCUGAUACAACUCCUUGUAUGACAUCGGGAUUGGCGUGAAUUGGGGCUUUUCAGUAGUUUGCCUAGCUCCCGACUCUUGUCUUGAUGAUCCCUGUUGAUUAGCAACCACUUUUUUUGGUUGAUUCACGGUAAUUGACCUACCAUAAGCAUUCACAUUAUUCACUUCAUUUUCUCUUUUCCUCAGGGGUGCCCUCCUAUUAUUUUCUCCUCCAUCUAUUUUUCCACUUUUAAUGGCAUGCUCAAUCAUUUCACCAUUCAUGAUUAUAUCCGAGAAAUUUUUUGAAGCGCUUCCCAACAUGUGAGUGAUGAACGGGGCUUUCAAAGUAUUAAUAAAAAGCGUCGUCAUCUCUUUUUCCAAAAGCGGUGGUUGCACCUGAACUGCCACCUCUCGCCACCUCUGCGCAUAUUGUCUGAAGUUUUCGUUCGAUUUCUUCUCUAAAUUUUGCAGAGUUAUCCUGUCAGGCAUCAUUUCUAAGACAUGAUUGUAUUGUCUCAGGAAAGCCUGUGCUAAAUCCCUCCAAGUAGCAAGUUUAGCUCGGCUCAGCUGAUUGUACCACUUUGAUGCCGCUCCCGUAAGACUUUCCUGAAAGCAAUGUAUUAAUAAUUGAUCAUUAUUAAUAUGCCCUUUCAUUCUUCUACAAAACAUAGUAAUAUGGGAUCCUGGGCAACUAGUCCCGUUGUAUUUCUCAAAUUCCGGCAUCUUAAAUUUGUAAGGGAGCACCAAGUCCGGAACCAAGCUCAGAUCCUUUGCAUCUAUUCCAUAGCUUUCGAUGCUUUCUAUUGCCCUAAACUUCUCUUCUAUCCAUUUCCAUUUCUCCUCAAAUUGUUUUGGAAAUUCCUCCUUCGCCUUGUCCUUUUCAACCAUCUCGUCAAGAUCUGGGACAGCAAUAUUAUUCGGGCUAUCACCGGGAUUAAGGCCCGCUCCGGGUUGAAAAUUCAUUGGGAUUGAAGCAUCGCCUUGGAACUGCUGGGGCCUAACCGACACAGAGGGUCUCCGCAGAUGCAGCUCAGUCUGUACUUGCGCAUGCGGAGGCGUGAAACCUGGAGGAUAAAGUGGUUCACCAUUGUUUUCUUCUUCACUAACAAUCACAGGACCUUUACCCUUAUCUACUCCCUUCAAUAAUUGCGUCACCUUAGCCACCAGAUCAUUUUGGGACUCCUCCAUCUUUUGCACCAUGUCACGCUGAAUCUUUUCUAUUUGCUCUUUCAUUUGCGCCUGCAACUGGUCUUGCAUUUCUCUUUGAAGUCGCUCUAGCUUCUCCAACCUUUGGUCCAUAAUUUUUGUCUUAGCUCGGGUGCCAUAACUUUGUUGGUUUUCCAGGUUAACUGAAAUGAUUUUAUUCGAUUAGGUUUUUAAUGGUCAUUAAUGCAUGUGAUGUGAUGCAAUGCAUGAAAAGAAUGCAAAGAAAAAAGAGGCACUGAUUCUAAUUCAACUUCAUUAGAAAACUUUACUAGAUAAAGAGUUUCUUUACAUAAAAUAGACUACAUAUAUGGCUUUGCCCUCACACUCAAAGCCUUAACCUUUCUAAGAAGCCAAGCUAAUUCUCGGCCCCUGUCCGACUCUGACUCAUACUUCAAACUUAAUAGAUCAGCCUGAACCGCUAGAGUUUACAGAUGAUCAGCUACUUCGCGCACUUGAGUCACCGCCUCUCCCAUAAUAUAAUUUCUUUCUCCAAUCUGCUCUUGAGACCGACGGAAUUGUCUUUGCCACUGCUCAUUACUUUCUUCCAGAAGCUCUAUCCGGAUUUCACUAUUUUGCAAUGCGUUCUCUAGCCCUCCUAUUUGUCUUUUUAAUUCUUCAAUUUUGUCUAAGCUCGCCCUUAAUUCAACCGUAGCAUUACGAUUACAGUACUGGUGAAGCGAUCUUUCUAGUUCAGUUAUCUGGACCUUCAACUCCGUCUUCUCGUCUUGGCAAACUAGUAGACUCUUUCCCAAGGCGACCUCUCGAGCCCGAGUAUCCUGAAAUUUCUUUUCCCAUUGAUUAGCUUUCGUCUUUUCCUCCUGAAUUUCUUGUCGCCAUUGUUCUGGCGUUUUACCCAAGCCAGCAGCUCUUACCGACCUACGCAACUUCUUGUAAUCUGUCUUCAGGCUGUCCAAAUCUUCUUCUGCUUUGUUCUUUCCUUUUCUCAAUUUGUUGGCCUCUAAUCUUUGAAUGUCCACAUCCAGUCCUAACUGCAUUUUUUCUUCCUCUAGUUGUUCUAUCUUCUUCCCCAAUUCUAAACUCCUUUUUUCGAAUUCUUGUUUGAUGAUUUCUAUCUCAGAAGGCAAAACUUGUAAGUGUUCCUCUAAAGAUCGAGCAGUUUCUGAAUUUGACGCCGGGAUGUUGUCGUUGAUCCUUUGAUCACGCCACUGACCAUACUCGGGGGUAAUUGUCGGACCCACGGCUAAGAUCUUCAUUCGACGAGUCUGGUUCCAGGCACUAGAUAUUUCUCGAACCUUCUUCUUGUAAUUGUCCUCCCUAUAGGAAAAAUCACUAUAAGCCAACCCCUGGGUUGCUGGUAUGAAUUGUCGUGAUCUAUACUGUCUUGAUACGAGUAGAGGAGCAUAUCCGAUAGCUCCCCAUAUCCCGAGCAGCGGAACCCAGUCAAAAUCUCCACAUCGGUACAAUAUCUCAUCAGGAAUUAACCAAGGAGCCCUCCAUUCAAUAUCUUCAUCUUGGAGAUUCUGGAGUAUCUCUAUCCAUUUUUCUUCUGAAAUAUCAUCCCGUCUUGGCGUGGCCACCAAUUCUCCUAGAGGGGAGUAGCUAUCGGAGAAUACCCGAUAAGAGACCUUUUCGACUUUCCAGAAGUGGCUAUGGAACCAUGCCAAUAAGAGCUGCGCGCAUCUAAUAAACCUUCCCUCCCCUGCUUUUCGACACGCAUUCAAGGAUCUAAAAGUUUCAGCGAGUAUUGCCGGAACCGGUGUAACCCCUUUACUAAGCCGAUCAAACAAAUCAGAUACAGCCUCGUCUAUGUGUCCUAAAGCUUUGGGGAAAACCACUAGUCCAUAGAUACCUAAAGCGAAGACAUCGAUCCUUUUCUUUAAGUCAGGAUGUACAAGCACCAAAUCUCGUAACCUUUUCCAAGGAACACAUUUACUGUCGCCCUUCUGUUGGAUCCGGGCAGCGACCCACUGCUCGCUCAUCCCAGUGAUGUUCAUUAAUUUCUUUAACAACGGAGGGACACAAGCAGCUCUGGAAUAAGCCUUGUCGACUUGAAUCUUUGGGCACCGAAGCAAGGUCGUAUACUCCUCCACAGUAGGCGUCAAAUCUACCUUCCCAAAAGUGAAACAACUGUAGGCAGGAUUCCAAAACUGAGCAAGGGCUCGGAAUAAAUACUUGUCCACUUUGACACUAAGCAGAUAAGGUAGGUCACCGUAGUUAUAAUAGAACAGCUGCUUGGCCUCGACAUCCCAUUGAUCCCAGACUUCUUUCAUUUCUCGAAGGUCAUUCUGGAUUACACUGAUACGGGUAAAAUCCCACAAUUCUGACACGUACCCUUCGGUAAGACUAUCGCCGUUCUCCCGUUGUGUCGUUUCAGCCCAUAUUCGCACAACCGCAUUAUCCUCUACUUUAUCAACAAACCCCUUUUCCAUGAUAAGCUUUCUACCAAGAAACUGAACGUAAAUCGACACCUCUUUUAGAAUGAAGAUGCCAUGCAAUCACAAACAAAGUAAAUUAGCAUUAAACACAGAAUAAGAUUUAAAAUAAGCGACAAAUAAAUACAACAUUCAUUUAGGUAAGCACUAAAAAUUUAGAGUAGCUCUACCUAGGUCGGUUCCUAUGGCUCAUUACAUGUGGUUUGGUUCUAAAGUAGGGUACCUGAACCAGCAAAUUCCUCGAUCCUCACCCAUUAUAGGCUCAUACGGACCAAGUUCGAUUCAGGGGGAUACAUUUCCCUAUGGCCAUGCGGAGAUGAAAAUCUCACGAAGACAUAGGUACGGAUAUAUCCCGAAAGCGAUUCACUAUCCCAUGCGGAGGUGAAAACCUCACGAAGGCGUAGCUUCUCACUCCCACCUAAAAAGGUGUGACCAACGGUCAUGCAAUGCAAUGCGGAAAGAUACCAAAAUUUAACAAACAGAGCAAUUAUAAACCCUAAUGAUGAUGAUUAUGAUAAAGACAGAUAAAAUGCGAUGAAAGGAUCGUAAUUUUAAACCGAAUUUUCAAUUUUUGACAAAAGACAAAAAGUAAUCACCACGUGGCUUGACCCUCUUAACCUUUCCCCAGUGGAGUCGCCAAGCUGUUGACACCAUUUUUUUGAUGAGAAACGGGUCGACUUGGGUUUUGAAAAAUGAAACGGGAGUCGUCACCAAUCCCUUUUUUAUGAGGUGUGAUUGGAUCACCUCGAAAAGUGGUUGUUUUUAAUAAACGAUUUGAUUUUAUUAAAACAACAAGUUUGGUCCACGAAAUUCAAAAAAAAUGGGUUCGGGAGUCAGUUACGUACGAGGAAGGAUUAGCACCCUCGUAACGCCCAGAAAUUGGUACCUAGCUGAUUAGUUAAUGUCUUGAUGUCGAAAAUCGAGAACUUAGAAAAAUUAAGAAUACGAUCCUUGUAUUAAAUAAAAAUUUGGGAAAAGAAGCAUAUUUCACAUUAAUCGAGAAAGAGAAUCAUAUCCAGUAAGUUAGAAUACAAUGUCUCAAAUUCCCGAUACACGAAUGGAAAAUGCUUAUUUAAAAGAUAUUUUAGCCAUCUCGGAUUUAAAAAUGAGAUCACGACCAGUAAGUUAGGACGCGAUUUUUUUCUUAAAAUCCCGAGAUCAUUUAAAACUUGAGUUUAAAAAGAUUCGUCCAUUUAGAUUUAUCGUGAAAAUCGAAACCCAGUAAGUUAGAGUACGGUUUUCUCGAAUCUAAACACGAAAUAUUAUUUAUUCAAAACAAACUUGUUAUAUCGAAUAAAAUGAAAUACGAAAAUCGUAGGAAAAAUACGAAAGCCAAUAAAAUCAUAAUGCACGCAGAAAUGUAAAAAUAAUACGAACAAUAGCGACAAUAUAAUAAAAAUCAUACUUACAAUCAUAUAAAAUAACAAUAUAUAAACAAAUAAAUUAAAACAUUCAUUCAAAAUAAUAAAGAAAAUCAAAUAAACAAACAAACAAAUCAGAUAAAUAAAAUUAUAAAAAAUGUAAAAAGUUGUAUGUAUGUAUGCGGAAAAUAUGAAUCAUAUAUGUAAAUGAGUAUGUAAAUAUAUAUAUAUGUAUAUUAAGAUUAUAAAAUGAAUAAUAAUAUAUAUACAGGUAUAUGUGUAUAUGGACUAAAAUAUAUAAAGUAAUAUAUAUGUAUAUGAAUUUAAAAAGUAUAUAAAAAGGUAUAUUUUAAAUUAAAGAUUGUGUGUAAGUAUGUAUAUAUAUUUAUAAAAAUGAAAAUAUGUAUAUAGAUAUAUGGAUAUGAAUAUAAGUUGUAAAAUAUAUAUAAAGAAAAAUAAGCGUAUAUGUAAGUUAUAAUAUAUAUAUGUAUAUCAUAAAAUAUAUGCACAUGUAUAUAUGUAUAUAUCGAAAUUUGAAUUAAAAAGAUAAUAAUAAUAAUGAUAAUAAUAAUAAUAAUAAUAGGACUAAAUUAAAAUUGAACCAAAAUUUCCGGGCUAAAAUAAGAAAUAAAUUAAGGUACGGGAUCGAAUUGUGAUGCGCGCGAAAAAGGGGGGGACCAAAAUGGAAAAUAAGCCAAAGCCUCCCAAAACGCUGCACAGUAAUGGACCGAAUUGAGGCAAAAAUAAAAUUUUGUGGCGAAAUUGCAAAUAUGCGAAAAAUUUCCAUGAAAGCGCUACAGAAUCAAAGGGACUAAAUGCGCAAAUUACCCAAUAGUCAAAAACACGCGGAUCCUCCCAUUGGGUCGGGUUACCGCGCGGGUCAGAGACCAAAAUGACGUCGUUUUUGGUCUCUGAACCCAAAGCCCAAACGGUGCCGUUUUGUGGGGUUUUUUAAACCCAAAAUGUUCCCAAAAAUCUCAUUUCCACCCACCAUUUAAAAAAAAAAUUCAAAAGACCCUCUGUUUUCUCAAAAGGUCCGGCCCUUGGGUUCUCCUAGCGCCGCCGUUACGCCACCACGGACGGUGGUCGGCCUCGCGCAAAUAGGCACCUUACCCAUCCAUUUCAGGACCUUAUUGAAGGCCAGAUUUACAUGGCCUAAAGAGCCGAGAGGAGAGGCUUUGGAACCCAACUUUUAGGACCGAUCUUCGACGAGAAAUAACCCUCAAUCGGCGCAACCGAACGGCUCUCAGGUGAGUUCCCCUUUUUUUCCUUUCUUUAUUUUAUAUAUAUGUAAAUAAACGAAAAAAGACAAGAAAUAAAAAAUAAAAACGAAGAAGAGUACUCUUAAUCACCUUAAAACUUAGUUUGUAUUUUAUUUCUUUUUUGCUAAUCUCUGUUUUGUUACAAAGAGUACCCCCCCCUUUUCUGUUUGAAUGGCUUUUAAAUAGCCAUUUUACAAUUUUCUAUUGUCUCUACUACUGUUUUGUCCUUCUUUGCGUGAUUUUCUUCUUUGCAGGCAAGUGGAGUGAUGAGACGGUGGCAGAAAGCAGGUGAACGGCGGAGUUGGUGGCGGUGGCAGAGGGUAGGUGAUGGGGGCAUUGUAAUUGGGUCUGCUGGUAUGGGUUAGUGUUUAGGUGGGUUAUUGGGUUUGUGGGUAUUGGGUUCUUUUGUUAGUGGGCCAGGCAGAAAUUGGGUUUGUACACACAUCAAUAACAACAUUUCAAGCAUUUAAGAAUAUAAUUCAAGUUACACGAACUUACCUCGUUACUUGUUCGUGUUUACAAUUUCACUAAUCCGAUGUCUUUUCUUUUGCACGUUCAAGUCUUGUAUUUGAGUCAUUUGGAUCUUUAUAAAUAAAUUUGAUCAUCAUUUUCAUUCAUUUUAUAUUCUGAUACAUUCAAUUAAUGCUCUAGGCAAGAUUAUUAUUUUGCCCCUAAGCUUUUAAUUAAUGACGAUUUUUAAUCCUUAGGCUCAGAAAAAUAAAUUCUUGUAAUUUAAAUAAAUAAACAAUCCAAUUCAUGCAAUUUGGUCAUUUUUGACAUUUUUACAAAAUUAACCAUAAAGUUUUACUUUUAUUCAAUUUAGUCCCUGAGCCUAAAACGUGCAAAUUAUCCAUGCUAGCUGAAUAUUCAUAUAUAUAUAUAUAUAUUCCCUCCUCCUCCUCUCCAUUCCACAUCCUUAAUUUAUAUAACAUGCUUAUAAGUAAGAUUAUCUAUGAUUUCACUAUUUACUUGUAAAUUUAUUCAAAGUUGUCCAUUUGAGUCAUAGUCACUAAAUUAUUUUUAUCUUGAGAUACAGAACUCAAAAUAAGAAUCCAAAAAUUUUAUCUGAAACUAGACUCACAUAUAUUUUUACCAUAAAAUUUUCAGAAUUUUUGGUUUAGCCAAUAAGUACAGUUUAUUCUUUAAAGUCACCUCUGUUCUGCUGUCUGACAGUUCUGACCCUUCUUCACUAAAACUUAAUUAUCUCCUCGUACAGGAUUUGAAUGAUGUUACUGUUUGUUUCUAUUGAAAAUAGACUCAUUCAAGAUUUUAAAUAUAUAAAUUUAAACCCCUAAUUAUUUUUAUUAAAUUUUUUAUGAUUUUCCAAAAUCAGAACAAGGGAACCCAAAAUCAUUCUGACCUUGUCUCACAAAAUUUAUUAUAUCUCAUUAUUUACAAUUCCAUUACUUGCACCGUUUCUUCUAUGAGAAACUAGACUCAAUAAGAUUUAAUUAUAUAUUUUCUUUAUCCUCUAAUUAAAUUUAUUCGAUUUUUGGAAAAUUUUCAAAGUCAGAUUACUGCUGCUGUCUCAAAACUGUUUUAAUAUAAAAUGUUGAUAACUAAAUUUAUAACACUUUCCUUUCCUUUCUAUUCAAUAUUUUCUAUCACUUUCUAUUAUUUCCCUUUAAGAACAUAACAAUAAUAUAGAACCUUAUAUAAGGAAACUCUACAUUAACAUUAAUUUCCUACUUUUUCAAUGAUAUCAAACUAAAAAAUAUAUUGAAAUCUUAAUGUUCUUACCUUGUACUAUUGACUUCAAUCUUUAACUUGAUUUUCUCUCUCCUCCAACUUCUAUUUCUUGAAUCUAACUUGAUAUUCUAGCUCCCCAUUGUCUCCUUAAUAUUUUUCUCUCUUGGAAGCUAUGGAAAUUCUUUUGAUUUCUAGGUGAAAAUGGUGGAUUUUUGUUAAAAAGGACCAAUUUGUAAAGAAAAGAAAACUUUCUUUCUUUCUUCUUCUUCUCACGUUGGUGCAUGGGAAAGAUGAUGAAUUCUCUUCAUCUUUCCUCUCUUUUAUAUUAAUAAUUUAAUAAUAAAAUAAUACUAAAAAUCUUAAUAAAAUAUUAAUAAAAUAUUAAUUAAAUAACAUUUAUCUAAUUAAUUAAUUAAAAAUAUCACCAACAUCAUCAUUUCCUUCUAGAAUUCUCUCUCUCUAAUUGACCAUUUUGCCCUUCAUAAUAUUUUGAAAUUUCGUCCUUGAGUCAUAACUUAAUUUGGUAAAAUUGCAAUUUAGUCCCUUAAAAUUCUUCACCUUUUCAAUUUGGUCCUAAUUCAUCCAUUUUCCUUAGUUUCUAGAUUAUUCCACCCUUAAAAUAUUUACACUAUUGAUCCUUCAACUUUUUCAUAUUUACACUUUAACCCCUCAAAUUUUGGGUAUUUACUCUUGGGCAACAAAGCUUUUCUCACUUUUUUGAUUUAAUCCUUUCUUGAAUUAAUAUGUCAUAAUAUAUUGCCCAAUGUUGACAUAACUCAAAAUUACCCUUUUUAUCACUUUAUUUUCUUAUUUUACUAUAUCAGGGAUAUUAUCUUACUAUAGUAAUUUUCGGGGUAUUAUAGUAGAUGUUAGUCAAGUUUGAAAGCUGCUCCAUACUCAAGACGAGGAUCGAACCCUCGACCACUGAAAAACAAAAUUUAACCCAACGCGAAGCGUGGGUGAGAAUCAUACUAGUAUAUCAUUAUUUUAAAGUGAUUUGUAAAAUUAACCCCAACAUUCAUUCAAUCAUGACUUUUAAAAAUAAAAAUUACAUAUUUAAAACACAAAUAAUAAAAAAAUGAAAUGUAUGAUUUGAAAUUAAUUAAUAAUAACACAUGAAAUAUGUACAAUAUUAAAAUGAAAAAAAUUAUAUUAUGAGUAAAAUGAAAUUAAAACAUGUGGAUUUAUCAUAUUAAGAGUAUUAAAUCCACUAUAAUUAUUUAUCAUAGUAUUGUUAUCAAUCUUGAGUUAAUGUCGAGUUGACUCGUGACACAAACUCAAUCAACAACAUUAUUUAUAUAUACAAUUAAUGGAGGUAAUAAAAAAUGCAUAACACAAUUAAAAUGUAAAUAUUAUAUUAAAAUAUAUUAUUAGUGUAAAUAGCAUGGGUUCAAAUCUCCUCACAUGAAUUUUUCUUUUGCUUUUUAAAGAAAAUAAAAAGACUAAAGUAUUCUCGAAUAAUAUUAUAUAUUUUUGUUAUGGAAGGGUAUUUUCAUAAUUUUCCUAAUUAAAUUGGUGCCCGAUUAACUAAUGACCCAACUCUGUUGAGAGCUUGAACAAUAGUAAAGAUUAGUAUGGUUUCCAACACAAAUGAUUUAAUUUAAAAUAGGUUUAAAUUUUUUUAACUAAUUUAGUAUUUUUUUUAAUUAAGAUUUAAAAAUAGUCUAGAUUUAUAUAUAUAUAUCAUUAUUUUAAAAUAAUUUUUUAUUUUUGAAAAUUAAUUCUACAUCAAUUCUAUCUUGACUUUUAAUUAUAACUAGUAUGAUUUCCAUCAAAACAGUUGGUAAGUCAAUUUUUUAAACUAAAUUAUAAAGUGAAAAUUUGAAGGUCAAAAUAUAUUCUAAGCCCUUAUAUUCUUUGUACAUUUGAAAUUUAAUCUUGGUAUUUUUAUUUUCAGGAAUUUAGUUUCUUUACUUUUCAGAUUUAAAAAUUUAGGUCCAAUUGUUAAUACCAUUAAAAUUUUUCUGUUAAAUUCGUUGGUGUGACAUAUUAAAUUUUUAAAAAAGGCACUUAGUAGCGAUGUAAUAAAAAUACGUUGUAAUAGACUUUAAAUCAACAAUGAACUUUAACUGUGCUGGCAAUUCUUAAAAAUUUAUGUCAACAAUGAACUUUAAUUCAACAUGAUAUUUAGACUAAAUAAUAACAUUAAAAAAGUUAAGGUGUCAAAUUAUGUCAAUAACUAAAGUAUAAGAUUAAAAUUUAAAUUUGAGCAUAGUAUAGGGACUAAAAUUAAAAAUUUGACCAUUGUUAUAUAAUCUCAAUAGAAGUAAAAGGUUAUAUAUUUCGACACAUGUAUACAAUAUUUUAAUCAUAAUAAAUAUUUAGACUAUCAACGAUAUUAUAAAAGUUAAGGUAUGAAAUUAUUUAAAAAAUUAAAGUAUAGGGAUUAAAUUUAAAAAUUCAGUAUAAUAUGUGAACAAAAACUAAAAUUUGACCAUUAUUAUAUAAUUAAAAAAAAAAGGGAGUAAAAGGUUGUGUAUUUAGACUAAUGUAUGCCAACAUUUUAUCUAUAAUGAAGUAUUUAGAAUAGACUUGGACAGGUGGUCCAUCCGACUCGAUUUUAUAUUAAACAAUUUACAAAAUAUCUUUAUUUUAAAAAUAUUUAUAAAAUAUAAAAUUUAAUGUAAAAUAAUAUAUAUUUUAUAUUUUUAUUUUAAAAUAAUGAUAUGAAAUUUAUACUGAUUAUGAUAUUAUAAAAAGUGACCACGUGUGUUUGAGUUUUGUGUGACUUGAAUUUAUUAUUAAUUCAAGAUGUCUCGAUAUUUUUUUCUUAAAAAAAAGUGAAGUAAUAAAUUAUAUAAAAAAAUGUAAAAAGUAAGGACACGUUUGGUUCGCUGUAUUGGACUAAAGGUGUAUUGGAUUAGAGGUGUAAUGGAUUAGAUGUGUAUUGAAAUAGAGGUGUAAUAACAAAUCAACUGUUUGGUUGAAUGUAAUGGAAUAGAGGCGUAAUAGUAAUCUUGUGUUUGGUUGAAUGGAAUAGAGAUGUAAUAGCAUAAUGGAAAAAACUAAAAUGACUAGAAUACCCUUAGCAUAAAUUUGUUUUGGUAAAUGAUUAUUGUUAUUGUUAUUUAAAUUUUAAUAAGAUUAUUAUUAUCAAUAAUAAAUAAUUUAAUCAUAUUUAAACAUAAUUAUUAUUAAAUAUAUUUUAAUUAAAAUAUAUAAUUUAAUAAAAUUCUUAAUAAUUAGCAGAAAUUUGUUUUGGUAAAUUAUUAUUGUUAUUGUUAUUUAAUUUUUAAUAAGAUUAUUAAUAUCAAUAAUAAAUAAUUUAAUCAUAUUUAAACAUAAUUAUUAUUAAAUAUAUUAUAAUUAAAAUAUAUAAUUUAAUAAAAUUCUUAAUAACUAAUAUUCUUAUAUGAAUUUACUCAAAUCAUAAUAUAGAUAAUUUAACAUAAUAAUUAUUAAAUAUAUUAAAUAUAAUUUAACAUAAUUAUUAAUAAUCUUAUGAUUUAACAUCCUUCAAUGGACUUCGAAGGUCCUUUAUAGUUUCAACCCAUAGUACACAUUAUUCAAGUUAAUCUCCAUAUUAUAUUUAUACAUAUCAAAGCUAUAAGCAACAUAGAAGCUAAUGAGGCCCCAUUUCCCACAAGUCCACAUGUAGAUCCUCGGCAAAGAGAAACUAAAGUUACAAACAACCUUACCAGCUAUUCAUGCAACAUUCACACACUUUUUGGACAGGCACCAGGAGUCAACCUGUAAAGAAAUGUAACUUCUUCAGCUCCUUCAACUCCAUUUCCUACUUGGCACGCCUUAACAAGAGCAGCACUCAUGAGAAGCACUCAAAACAGAUUUAACACGACCAUUGCAAAUUCAAUUUAACCCCGUUAUGCCAAAUUUGAUAGAAAAAAGCUUCGGCAGAGCAGCAUGGUUCAUUGAGAUCAAUACACUUUCUACUUUGCAAAUUAACAGCAUGCUUCAUGAGAUAAUCAAGUGAUCUACAAUUAAAAACAAAUUAAACAGUACUACUGCUGAAUAUAUUUAAUGAAACACUUGAAAAGGGACCUCAAAAAAAGAUUAUUGAUCAUAAUUAGAAAACUCAUUUCACCGAAUUUGACAGAAAAAUGCUUCAGCAGAAUCAACAACGGUUCAUUAAGAUUCAUACACUUUCAUCACAUAUUGGCAGCAUGGCUCAACAGAUAAUCUAUUACUGAUUAAACUUAAUCCAAUAACACAAACCCAUCAAAGUAAACCAAUCAAACUUAAAAUUUGACACGGUAAAGAAGGAAAAUAACCACUCAAAAUAAAAUGUGAAGCAGAAAAAAUCGUAAAACUACAUUCUAGUUUUGGUAAUUAAAACAUCUAGGUUAUCAACAAGUGCACAACCAUGUCAUUUACUUCCUUUGCAUGUGGCAGCAUCUGUUUAAGUUCCUCCACCUUGACGAGAAUAUCCAUGCCCCCCUUGCAGCUUCCUCUUUUGCUUGUUCGACAGCUGCCUCUUGAAGUUCAACUUCUUUCAUCAAGUUCAUAAUCGAUUGCAUGGUCUGAAACAAAAUUUUCUGAACCAAAAUCUCAUAAGUUAGCAGUUCAUCCUCCCAAAAUAGCAACAACAAAAAAAACAUUAGAAGUUCAAAAUUUCAAAGAUCAGUUCAUUCAUCAUGCUGCGAUCAACGAUAUAAUGGACUAAGUUCUAGUAUUAUUAGCAUUGCAUAGGAUCAUUCUCAAACCCAAACAACCUCCAAAGUUGACAAAAGAAAGUAACAAGUUUAGAGCAAAGAGUACCUUGUUAUCUUUAGCAUCUUCAAUGAUCUCUUCGAGUAGAUCAAUUCUACAUGUUUGACUUGAUCUACUAACAACAGUGUUGAAGGUCUCAUCCUCAACAUCACUCAUUUCACCAACGCAACCCUGCUGGGAUUUAAGCCCUACAAAAAUUUCUGGCAAUUGUUCUUAAGAGUAUGACGAAACCAGCAUGCUCACAGCAUUUUCUUCACCGACCAUGGUUCCAUUGAAUGAACUGCUUCUGCAUAAAUCUUUAUUAAAAUCCAUGGGUCCAUCAAAAUUUAACUUAUCAUCACUGCUGCCAUUCUCCAAAAGCGGGGCCGUAUCAUCAGCCGAGGUGAAUGGGGCAACCUGUGGCGUCCUCGGAAACCCAUCUUCAAUGUCUGUGGUUUGGUCUUAACUUGAUGAACAUGAGAAAUCAAGAACCAAAAGUCAAGGAAAAAACAUUAGAAGAUACAGUAAGAUCCAUUAAGGUUCAUGAUAACUAGUUUUAGAAUCAACUUAGAGAAAUUUCCAUUGAAAUAGAAGAAAUAACAUAUAGUUCACCCCUUUUUUAAACUCAGAAACAAUAAACUAUAUUAUAAUCCUUACUGAAGUUUGAUAGUUAAGCAAGUGAAAGCAUUUGAUAAUUCCAAAGCCCAGAACCCAAAAGAUCACAUAAAAGAAUUGCAUACAGCUCAUUUGACUGCAUUUAUCUUUCUUCCUCAAUAAAAAUGGAAAAGCAAAGAAAUUCUGAUCAGUCCUCUCAUAAAAAUUUUUAACUCCUAACAUAGUACUAGAUUCAUCAAGAUGAUGAUCGUGACAGUUUUUCCAGAGACUUCCACUUUAACACCAGAAAUCAAGUAACAAAAAAAUUAAAUUCCAACAAAAUAACAGAAAUAAGGGCAUGGGUAUUGACAAUUAAAGGGUAAAGAGAAAACCAAAAUCAAAAUUUGACCCAACAAAAUAGAAGAAAUGAAGCUUUUGGGAAUCACCUGAAAGAAGUAUAGUUAUAGAAUUCAACAUCCAAACACAUGAAAAGAAGUGAAGCAGAGGAGAAAAUGGUUUGUCCCAAACGAAGAGCCAAGCUAGCGCUAGUUCCCAAUGCCCCUGGCACUUGCUCCAUCAUCUUUCGAGUCAGCUUACCUCUCCGUUUCUUCAUCUUUAAAUUCCCAAACAAGAAAGAAGAAAACAGAGUUUCAAAGAAAGUGAAAGAAGUGGUCUUCGAAAUUCCGAAAAAUUAUGCUUGCAAAAAUGGUUCCACCUUUGGGUUUUGUUUCUAUGAUGAAGACCUUGGAAGAGAGAAAUAAGAAAAGGAAGGAAGUGUUUUUUCUUUUUAAAAUUCUGAAAAUAGGAGUUAUAUUGUUUUGACAUAGUUUCAUUCAUGUCUGUUUCAAUGUCUAUGAAACCCAUCUUCAAUGUCUGUUUCAAGAUUUGCAUAUAGACAGAGGGAGCAAAUCGGCAGAAAGGGUAAAACAGGGAGGGGAAACCGAAGGGGCAACUAAUCUGCAGAAAAGAGGGGGAUUAGAAAUCGGUGGUUUUCACCGAUUAGGAAGGUAAAGGAUUACACCCGUAUUAGCAAUACAUCAAACCAAACGAUGGAAUACCCGUAUUUUUGUGCUUUAUUUAAUGCACAUUAAGUUUCUAUUAAUGCAACAUUUAUGCUUUUUUUUCUUUUUUUUAUGAAUUUUUUUCUCCUUUUUCAAUAAAAAACAAGCCGAGCUAUCACACUAAAACAAAGGCUUAUCAUCCAACUGAACAAGAAGUUCACCCAACAAACCGUCUAACCAGGCAACUUCAGUAGUAGCAUGAGCUACAUAUUGUAUUAUGCUUCAGAUUUACUACGAGAGACUACCUGUUGCUUUUUGGAACACCAAUAAACUUGAUUUCUUGCAAAAGUUAAACCCUAGCUAGACGUUGAGCAUCGAUAAUCAACAUUAGGCCCCUAAUUAGCAUCAAUAAAACCACAUAUGGGCAUCAUCACACCAAGUUUAAACAGAAUGCCAUGACUAGAAGAAGCAGCUCGGUAUAGCAACACUUGGUUCAUAGCUUUGAAAUGAGUGUCAAGAGGCCUAUGCAUGAACUAACAAGUAUGAUUCAUAGUAAAUGUGAUUUCUGGUAUUGUAAUAACAACAUACUGCAAAACACCAACUAUAUUAUUAUAUAAUCCUUCAUCUCCAAUAGGACUACUGUAGAACCAGACAAAUUACAAGAACUAACCAUUGGAGUAGGAACUCCAUGUGCAUGUGCCAUGUGACUUUUCUCCAAAAGUUCUGAAAUAUACUUUUGUUGAUUGAGAAACAAAUCUUGGUUAGUAUAAGUAACCUCAAUGCCCAAGAAGUAGUGCAACCUCCCUAUCUCUUUUAGAGAAAAGGCUGUAUUGAGACUAUGAACCACUGAAUCAACAAUAUCAUUAUUACUUCUAGUGAUGAUGAUAUCAUCCAUAUACACUAAUAGAUAAGUGACAUCAGACUUAGCUACUUUCAUAAAGAGAAAGGCAUCAGAUUUUCCCAUAACAAACCUUGUGGAAACAAGAUAGUCUUUAAACUUUUCAAACCAGGCUCUAGGAGCCUGUUUGAGACAGUAAAAAGCCUUAUUCACUUGCAAACAAGUUAUUCCUUAGACUUUGUUUGAUACCUUGGUGGUUGCACCAUAUAUACCUCCUCAAGUAAAUUUCCAUUCAGAAAUGUGUUAUUGAUACCAACCUGCCUGAGCAUCCACCCUUUUAAAACAAAAAGAGAAAGAAUAACUUUGAUGGUCAUAGGUUUCACCACGAAGCUAAAUGUGUCUUUAAAAUCAAAACUUGUUACUUGAGAAUACCCAUUACUAACCAAUCAUGCCUUGUAUCGAGCAACAAUGCCAUAUGGAUUUCUUUUUAUUUUAAACAACUACUUGCAUCUAAUUGGCUUCUUUCCUGGUGGUAAAUGAGCCAAAGUCCAAAUGUUAUUCUUCAUUAGAGUAUCAUACUCACUCUAAAAUACUUUAUUCCAAUGAGAAUGUGCUAAUGCUUCUUCAAUAGAAUCAGACUCCCUGUUAUGAAGCUCAGUAGUACAAAAAUUUGGCUUAUAAAUCCUAUUUUUAGCCUUGGUCAUCAUAAGAUGAGAAUUAAGAACACAACCUUGAGAAGCUACUGCCUCAGUUUGCUCUUGUAAAGGAAUUUGAAUAUUUGUAAUUGGAACUUCAACAUCUGCAAUAGUAAGAACUUUUUCAGGGAAAGAAAGGAGAAGAAGGACCACCCACUACACUUGAAGAUCCAUUAAGAAUAGGUGAAGGUGAAGCACAAUCAAGACCAGCUGGAGGUGCAUUAUUAUUGAGACCAUUGCUUGUUGAAGAAGCAACAAUAGGACUUGAGUUGUCUACAGAACAGUCACUCACUGGUAAAUUCAAGAAAGAAACUUGCUGAGAUAAUGAUUAUACUCGAAACACCAUAGACAAAUGAGUAGAAGAAAUAAUAGUUGCUAAGGGAGAAGAAGGUCUAUUUAAAACAGAAAAGAACCUUCAUAAACAAAACAUGCUUGGAAACAAAAACCAUGCCAUUAUCAUCAAUACGCCUAUAACCCUUGUGAGUAGAACUGUAUCCAAGAAAUGUACACGGUUUGGAUUUAAACUACAACUUAUGUUUAUUGUAGGGUCUCAAACAAGGAUAACAAAAACAACCAAUGAUUCUAAGAAGACUAUAAUCAAGCUUAAUCUUGUAUAGAAUUUCAUAUGAAGAUUUAUUUUACAACACAGAUGUUGGUAAUCAAUUUAUAAGAUGAAUGGUAGUAACAAAUGCAUAGGAACAAAACUUGAGUGGUAAGUGAGCUUGGGCUAGUAAGGUUAACCUCAUUUUGAUUAUGUGGCGAUGUUUCCUCUCAGUUAUGUCAUUUUAGUUAGAAGUAUAAGGAUAACUCACUCUCUUUUAGAUGCCAGAUCAAGCCAACAAAUAAGUGAGAGGCCUAUAUUCUCUACUUUAAUCACUCUGAAAGGCUUUGAUUUUAGACUAAAACUGAACCUUAACAUACUUUUGAAAAUUUUGAAAACACUCUACAACUUGAGAUUUAUUCUUUAAUAGGUACAACUAUGUAAACCUACUAUGAACAUCCAUCAAGGUAACAUAUUACCAAUGACCAUCUGAUACCUUUGCAGCUGGCCCCUACAAAUCUAAACCCACUAACUUGAAUGGUAUAACAUUAGUUGUAACAAAAGUGGAAAAAAGGUAACUUAUGUGAUUUUCCCAACUAACAAGAUGUGUAAUCUGUAUUAUUACUUUUAAUAAUUUUAUCAACAGAGAUAUUAAAAGAUAGUAAAAGAUUUCUUAGAGCUUUAGUAGAGGGAUGACCAAGUCUCUCAAGCCAUACAUCAAAAAUAAUGAAAGACGAAUCUAAAAUUGCGUUGUUUAUUUCACCAUCAAGUAAUGCUACUAGUUUGACCUCGGCUUUUGAUAGGAUGAAAUGGGUUCAAACUUGUACAAGUCUUCAUGCAUGUGGCCUUUGAGUAUAGUAUAAUGUGUUUAAAAAUCCUUAACAAAACAAAAAUAGGUGUGAAAUUCAAAGAAUACAUCAUUAUCUUUAGUUAAUUGAGAUACUGUAACACCCCUAACCUAUAUACAUCGCCAGAACAGGGUUACGAAGCAUUACCAGAAUUUAUAGAUCAAUUACAGACAUUUCAUUUCAUUUGACAUUCAUAUCAUAAAUCAAUUAGAAUUUAUCAUACGGUCCCUUAUAUGAGCCCUCGAGGCCCAAAAUACACAUUAGAAACAAGUCAGGACUAAACCAAGUACUCAAACAAUUUUUCGUAAAAUAUCAAAAUUUUUCCAAGGUGCAGGGGACACACGCUCGUGUGGCCAGGCGUGUGGGCAUUCGAAAUAGGGGCACACGGCUGUGUCCCAGCCCGUGUCCAAAUUUAGUAUCUCACUGACUUGAGUCACAUGACCAAGCCACACGCCCGUGUGAGAAAUUUUGAGUAUUCUGUUUUGAAAUUUUAAAGAUGCAGGGACACACGGCUGAACCACAUGCCCAUGUGCUAGGCUGUGUGUUGAGACAUAUGCUCAUGUCUCUACCCGUGUGGACAAAAAUAGGCCAUUUCCAAGGCCACGUUCCUCACCCAAACUUGGCAUCAACCUAACAAACAUCUUUGGACAUCAAUAGACCAUAAUAAGACAUUCAACCAAACCAAAAUUUAAGCUUUAUGCUUAACUGUUAGAAUUGUGUGACCCAAAUUCUAAGAGAUUGCUUGCAAGUCAAGUUAAACAAAAAUAUAUUUUCUUUCUAGAAGAUUUAGUAUUUAUUAGUAUAAUAUAUUUAGCAUUUAUUAGUAUAGUUUAUUUGACUUACUAAUUUAGCCUAUAAAUAGGCUCCUUUACAAUCUUAGAAUUAAGAGACACCCAUUAGAUUAGAACUCAUAACACAUUCAGAGAAUUUUGUGUUUACGUUUGAGGGUUCUUUGUUUUUCAGGUUUUCGGGGUUUAGUUUUUAUCUCCAUCUUUUGUACUCUUCAUUCUUUUGCCAUUAUAGUAAAAUUAUCUUUGCCCGUGGUUUUUUAUCCUCUUUUGAGGGGUUUUUCCAUGUUAAAUUUGUGUGUUCAUCUUCUCAAUUUCUUCUACUAUUUUUACUUGUUCGUUGCUUAAUCGGGACGAUCCUAACAUUAACCUAUUACUACAACCAUUCAAUAUUCUUUACUUCCUAAUUUGACCAAAUACAUAUAUAAGCUCAUUUGUACCUAAAUUUACAAAAUUUAAACCAACUAACAACAUGUUAAUAAAUUAUCCAUCAUUUAGCCAUACUAGCACACAUUAAACAUGAUAAGGCCACUUACAUACACCUCAAAACAUGUCCAUCACAAGCCAUUCCAAUGGCUAGUUACAAUAAAAAUAUUUUCAUGCCAAUAUUAGCUAAUUAACCUAUACAUGCCUUUAUAACCAAAAUGAGUUUACUAUAUAUAUAUAUCGAAAAGGCUAAUGGAUAGUGUGAUGUAGCUCCGACCAGCUUCCAACCUUUACGAGCUUCCGAGUACUAUAAAAUAGGGAAAACAAAAGAAGUAAGCUUUUAAGCUUAGUAAGUUCAUAUAACGGGAAAUUAACUUACCAUUCAUUUACAUUUAAGAUAAGUAUACUAACAUAUUCCAAACCAAUUUGGCCAUAGCCUAACACAUAUCCAUAUCACAUUAGCCAAGUAAUCACAUGUAAUAAAUCAUAAUCAUGGAUGAACAUAGUCAUUUAACAUGUUUCACAUACUUGUAUCAGACAUAUCACACGUCAUUAUAUAUCAAAUAAUAUCAUUUCCAUAUAAUUUAGGUAUACACAGGUAAUAGUUCACUUUGAACUUAUGUUACUUCAUAUCAGUACUUUGCCCGUUGAACCAUUUUAAAUAUCGAUAGAUACACAAGUAGUACACAUGAAGUGUACAAAUCUGUAAUUCGUCAAUUCAUAUCUGGGAAUGCUUAUAUGAGCAAGUAAACGGGAAGCUCUUCCAAGCCAUAUAACGGGAAGCUCAUGUGAGCCAUGUAACAGGAAGCUCAUAAGAACUAUAAUCGGGAAGUUCAAGUGAGCCAGUAUCGGAAAGCUCUGGAGAGCCAUUAAUCGAGAAGCUUAUGAAAAAGCCUUUAAUUGGGAAGCUUGCAAGAAUCAUAUAACGGGAAGCUCGUGAGAGCCAAAUAUCAAGAUGCUCAUGAGAGCUAAUAACGGGAUGCUCUUUCGAGCUAUGGUGUGACCGCAACACAUACAGGACCACAAC
rnacentral:lncRNA from 1 species